rnacentral:lncRNA from 1 species
UGAAGACGACGUAGGCCUCGUCUUGCACGGUGUACUCGUCAUGGAGAUGGCCGUCGCUAUGAGGCGGCGGCGGUGGAGCCGGAGCCGGCCCUGGAGCCGGAGCACGAGGCGCAGAAGCAGCCGCCGGGGGAGCCGGCAAACCCUCACCUCGCGACAGUCGUUGUGCAAAGCUGCACUACCGGAGGGUAUGGGUGGUCGGCUUCAUCCCAGUGUGCAUCUUGCAUGGUGCGUCGAGCAUUUGCUCGAAGGUGAGCUUGGGCUGCCAGGUGCUCUUGCCGGUCCGCUGCCGCUGAGAGCCGGCUUGGGUAGCCGGCGCAUCUUCCUUCACGUGAGCCACCUGCUUGCUUGCAGAGAGCGAAUCAAGUUGAUCCGCCUUGCGCUUGUUGUUUUGGCCGCCUAGGUUAUUGCCAGCCGGCUUGGGAGUAGAUGGCGUGGGGACAAUCUUGUCCGAGGCGGUAACCUUGACCCGCAUGGCGGAGUCGGUCGUGGCGUAUUUGUCCGCCUUGGCCAUGAGCACCGCUGGAGAGGUGGGCUCGGAGCACAUGAGCUUGUGCUUGAGUAGGGUGUCGUUUCGACAGCCGUCAAUGAAGUAUUGAAUGGCUUGUACCUCAUGCACUCCUUCGCAGGAGUUGUGCAGCUCUGUCCAACGCGUGACUGAUGACCUACAAGUGUAGGGGAUCUAUCAUAGUCCUUUCGAUAAGUAAGAGUGUCGAACCCAACGAGGAGCAGAAGGAACUGACAAGUGGUUUUCAGCAAGGUAUUCUCUGCAAGCACUGAAAUUAUCGGUAACAGAUAGUUGUGUGAUAAGAUAAUUCGUAGUGAGUAGCAAGUAACAAUAGUAACAAAGGUGCAUCAAGAUGGCUCAAUCCCUUUUGUAGCAAGGGACAAGCCUGGACGAACUCUUAUAAGAGGUAAAGCGCUCCCGAGGACACAUGGGGAUUUAUGUCAAGCUAGUUUUCAUCAAGUUCAUAUGAUUCGCGUUCGCUACUUUGAUAGUUUGAUAUGUGGGUGGACCGGUGCUUGGGUGCUGCCCUUACUUGGACAAACAUCCCACUUAUGAUUAACCCCUCUCGCAAGCAUCCACAACUACGAAACAAGAAUUAAGACUAAGUCUAACCAUAUCAUUAAACUAGUGGAUCCAAAUCAGCCCCUUACGAAGCAACGCAUAAACUAGGGUUUAAGAUUCUGUCACUCUAGCAACCCAUCGUCUACUUAUUACUUCCCAAUGCCUUCGUCUAGGCCCAAAUAAGGUGAAGUGCUAUGUAGUCGACAUUCACAUAACACCACUAGAGGAAAGACAACAUACAACUCAUCAAAAUAUCGAACGAAUACCAAAUUCACAUGACUAUUUAUAGCAAGACUUAUCCCAUGUCCUCAGGAACAAAAGUGACUACUCACAAAGCAUAAUUAUGUUCAUGACCGGAGAGGUAUUGAAUAGCAUUAAAGAUGUGAACAUAUAACCUUCCACCGAGUAAUCCAACUAGCAUCAACUACAAAGAGUAAUUAACACUACUAGCAACCUUACAAGUACUAAUCGGAUUCGCGAGACGGAGAUUGGUAAUUACAAGAUAUAAACUAGGGUUUGGAGAUGAGAUGGUGCUGAUGAAGAUGUUGAUGGAGAUGAGUCCCCUCCGAUGAGAGGAGUGUUGGUGAUGACGACGGCGACGAUUUCCCCCUCCGGGAGGGAAAUUUCCCCGGCAGGACGGCUGCUACCUCUUGAGCUUUCAUUGAUUUUUUCCCUUGAAGAGGAAAAGGUGAUGCAGCACAGUAGCAGUAAGUAUUUCCCUCAGUUUGAGAACCAAGGUAUCAAUCCAGUAGGAGUAUCAAGCCAAGUCUCCAAAAGUACCUGCGAAAAAACAGCAAACUUGCACCCAACGCUACAAAGGGGUUGUCAAUCCCUUCACGAUUGAUUGCAAGGUGAGAUCUGAAGGCGGAAAGUGCAACAAAGUAAAAGUGUAAGGCUGAAAAUAUGAUGUGAAGUAGACCUGGGGGCCAUAGUGUUCGCUAGAGGCUUCUCUCAUGAUAGCAAAUAUUACGGUGGGUGAACGAAUUACUGUUGAGCAAUUUAUAGAACCGCGCAAAGUCAUGACGAUAUCUAAGGCAAUGAUCAUACAUAUAGGCAUCACGUCCGAGACAAGUAGACCGAUACUUUCUGCAUCUACUACUAUUACUCCACACAUCGACCGCUAUCCAGCAUGCAUCUAGUGUAUUGAGUUCAUAACGAACAGAGUAACGCCUUAAGCAAGAUGACAUGAUGUAGAGGGAUAAAUUCAUGCAAUAGAUAUAAACCCCAUCUUUUUACCCUUUAUGGCAACAACAAGAUGCGUGCCUCGCUACCCCUUCUGUCACUGGGUGAAGUCACCGCACGGUAUGAACCCAAAAUCAAGCACUUCUCCCAUUGCAAGAACUGUAGAUCAAGUUGGCCAAACAAAACCCACAACUCGAAGAGAAUUACAAGGAUAUGAAAUCAUGCAUAUAAGAGAUCAGAAGAAACUCAAAUAAGAUUGAUAGAUAAUCUGAUCAUAAAUCCACAAUUCAUCGGAUCUCGACAAACACACGCAAAAGAAGAUUACAUCGGAUAGAUCUCCAUGAAGAUCAUGGAGAACUUUGUAUUGAAGAUCCAAGAGAGAGAAGAAGCCAUCUAGCUACUAGCUAUGGACCCGAAGAACUGUGGUGAACUACUCACGCAUCAUCGGAGAGGCAAUGGUGUUCAUGAAGAAGCCCUCCGUGUCCGAAUCCCCCCUUCGACAGGGCACUAGAACGUGCCCCAGAUGGGAUCUUGCGGAGACAGAAGCUUGUGGCGGCGGAAACGUAUUUUCGUGGCUCUCUCCCGUGGUUUCAAACUUUUCGAGGAUUUAUAGGCGGAAGAACUAGGGCAGAGGAGCCCCAGGGGGCCCACAAGCCUGCUAGGCGCGGGCCCGCCUGGCCGCGGCUCGGGGGCUUGUGGCCUCCCCUGGUGCCCUCUGCCUUGGUUCUCAAGCUUCGUGCGUAUCUUUUGUUCCGGAAAAUAUAUUUUUGGAGGUUUUAUUCCGUUUGGAAUCCGUUUAAAAUUCUCCUUUUGAAAAAGGUCAAAAACACGGAAAAAGAGGAACUUGCACUUGGCACUGAGUUAAUAAGUUAGUCCCAAAAAAGAUAUAAAAUGCAUACAAAACAUCUAAAGUUUGACAAGAUAAUAGCUUGGAACCAUAAAAAAUUAUAGAUACGUUGGAGACGUAUCAAGCAUCCCCAAGCUUAACUCGUGCUCGUCCUCGAGUAGGGAAGUGAUAAAGACUGAAUUUUUGAUGUGGAAUGCUACCUAGCAUAUUUUUCCUUUGUAACUUCUUUCACGUGACAUGAAUGUUCAGAUCCGUAAGAUUCAAAACAGUAGUUUGCUAUUGACAUGAAAACAAUAAUACUUCAAGCAAACUAGCAAGGUAAUCAUGAACUUUCGAAAUAACAUGGCCAAAAAAAGUUAUCCCUACAAAAUCAUAUAGUCUGGCUACACUCCAUCAUCCCCACACAACGAAUUUAAAUCUUGCACAACCCCGGUAUUGGCCAAGUAAUUGUUUUCGCACUCUUACAUUCUCAAACCUUUUUCAACUCUCACGCAAUACAUGAGCGUGAGCCAUGGAUAUAGCACUAUAGGUGGAAUAGAGUGUGGUGGAGGUUGCGAGACAAAAAGGAGAUGAUCACAUUGACUCGGCAUAUCAAAGGGCUAUGGAGAUGCCCAUCAAUAGAUGUCAAUGUGAAAGAGUAGGGAUUACCAUGCAUUGGAUGCACUUAGAGCUAUAAGUAUGUGAAAGCUCAAAAGGAGAACAAGUGGGUGUGCAUCCAACUUGCUUGCUCACGAAGACCUAGGGCAAUUUUGAGGAAGCCCAUCAUUGGAAUAUACAAGCCAAGUUAUAUAAUGAAGAUUCCCACUAGUAUAUGGUGGUGACAAAACAAGAGACUCUCAAUCAUGAAGAACAUGGUGCUAUUAUGAAGCACAAGUGUGGAAAAAGAUAGUAGCAUUAUCCCUUCUCUCUUUUUUUGUUUGGGCUCUUUGGCCUCUUUCCAUAUAUUUUUGUGGGCAACUCUGGCCUAUUUCUUUUUUAUUUCCUCACAUGGGACAAUGCUCUAAUAAUGAUGAUCAUCACACUUUUAUUUACUCACAGCUCAAUGCUCAGAACAAUGAUGACUCUAUAGGAAAUGCCUGUUGGAAAUAUGCCCUAGAGGCAAUAAUAAAUAGUUAUUAUUAUAUUUCCUGUUUAAAGAUAAUUGUUUAUUAUCCAUGCUAUAAUUGUAUUGAAUGAAAACAUAGAUACAUGUGUGGAUAAAUAGACACAACAAUGUCCCUAGCAAGCCUCUAGUUGGCUAGCUAGUUGAUCAAGGAUAGUCAAGGUUUUCUGACAAUGUGCAAAGUGUUGUUGCUUGAUAACUGGAUCACAUCAUUAAAGGAAUCAUGUGAUGGACUAGACCCAAACUAUGAACGUAGCAUAUUGAUCGUGUCAUUUUAUUACUAUUGUUUUCUGCGUGUCAAGUAUUUGUUCCUAUGACCAUGAGAUCAUAUAACCCACUGGUACCGGAGGGAUGCCUUGUGUAUAUCAAAAAGGGUCUUCCAAGGAUGACCGCCAUGGCAUCGUCCUCAGGAAUAUCCAGAAUAACAAAGUCUGUUAAGAUAGUAAUGUUAGCAACCACAACAGGCACAUCCUCGCAAAUGCCGAUAGGGAAAGCAGUUGAUUUGUCGGCCAUUUGCAGAGAGAUUUCACUGGGUGUCAACUUAUCCAGCUCAAGUCUACGAUAAAGAGAGAGAGGCAUAAGACUAACACCGGCUCAAAGGUCGCAUAAAGCAGUUCUAAUGUAGUUACCUUUAAUGGAGCAAGGUAUAGUGGGCACUCCGGGAUCACCUAGUUUCUUGGUAGUUCCACCCUUGAAGGUAUAGUUAGCGAGCAUGGUGGAAAUCUCAACCUCAGGUAUCCUCCUCUUAUUAGUCACAAUAUCUUUCAUGUACUUAGCAUACGGAGACAUUUUGAGCAUAUCUGUCAAACGCAUUUGCAGAAAGACAUGUCUAAUCAUUUCAACAAAUCGCUCAAAGUCCUCAUCAUCCUUUUUCUUGGAUGGUUUGGGAGGAAAGGGCAUGGGUUUCUGAACCCAUGGUUCCCUUUCUUUACCAUGCUUCCUAGCAGUGAAGUCAUUCUUAUCGUAUCUUCUAUUCUUAGGCUGUGGGUUAUCAAGAUCAAUAGGUUCAAUCUCCACAUCCUUAUCAUUGCUAGGUUGAGCAUCAACAUGAACAUCACUAUUGAUAUUAUCAUUAGGCUCAUGUUCAUCACGAGAUUGUGUCUCGGCAUCAGAAACAGAGACAUCGUUUGGACUCUCAGGUGUAUCAGCAUCUGGGUUGCUAGCGUGCAGGUUCCUAUCAUCUUUCUUCUUCUUUCUAGGAUGACUAGGUGCAUCAGUGCAGACUCCUUGAGAAUCUUGUUCAAUUCUCUUAGGAUGACCCUCGGGAUACAAAGGUUCCUGGGUCAUUCUACCGCCUCUAGUGACGACUCUAACAGAAUUGUCAUUCAACUCAUUGAGCAAGUCAUUCUGAGCCUUAAGUACUUGUUCUACUUGAGUAGUAACCAUAGAGGCAUGUUUACUCAGGAGCUUAAGAUCAUUGACGUUUCUGUCCACACAAGCACUUAAAUGACUAAGCAUACGAGCAUUCUGUUCCAAUUGUCUGCUAAUAUAAUCAUUGAAACUUUGUUGUUUGGCAACAAAGUUACAAAUUCAUCCAGGCAUAAGCUAGCAGGUUUAUCAAAAGGAGUAUCAAUCUCAUUGAAUCUACAAAGAGAAUUUACUUCUACUACCUGUAUCGGGUUAUCAAGACCAUAGAUCUCUUCGAUAGGUGAUAGAUUUUUGACAUCUUCAGAUUUAAUGCCUUUCUCUUUCAUAGAUUUCUUAGCUUCAUGCAUAUCUUCAGGACUGAGGAAUAGAAUACCUCUUUUCUUAGGAGUUGGCUUAGGAGGUGUGUUACGUCUCAAACGUAUCUCUAAUUUUUGAUGGUUUCAUGUUGUUAUCUUGUCAACUUUGGAUGUUUUAUGUACCUUUUAUAUCUUUUUUGGGACUAACUUAUUAAUUCAGUGCCAGGUGCCAGUUCCUGUUUUUUCUGUGUUUUUAACUCUUUUCAGAUCUAAUUGUGGAACGGAGUCCAAACGGAAUAAAAUCCCUGAAAUAAAUUUUUGCAGAACAGAAGAAGAUCGGGGGACUUGAGGGCCAAGGCAGGAGAGCCACACGGGCCCCACAAGCCCUGUAGCCGCCACCAGGGGGCCGGCGGCUACCAGGCUUGUGGCCUCCCUAGAGCUCCCCUGCCCUAGCUCUUUCGCCUAUAUAUUCCCUAAAAUCCCAGAAAAAAUCAGGGCAUCCACCAAAACACUUUUCCGCCGCCGCAAGCUUCCGUCUCCGCGAGAUCUCAUCUGGAGACCCUUCCCGGUGCCCUGCCGGAGGGGACUUUGGAGUUGGAGGGCUUCUACAUCAACAUCAUCGCCUCUCCAAUGACUCAGGAGUAGUCCACUUCAGACCUAUGGGUCCGUAGUUAGUAGCUAGAUGGCUUCUUCUCUCUCUUGGAUCUUCAAUACAAAGUUAUCCAUGAUCUUCAUGGAGAUCUAUCCGAUGUAAUCCUCUUUGGCGGUGUGUUUGCCGAGAUCUGAUGAAUUGUGGAUUUCUGAUCAGAUUAUAUAUGAAUUAUAUUUGAGUCUUUGCUGAUUUCUUAUAUGCAUGAUUUGAUAUCCUUGUAAGUUUCUCCGAGUCUUGGAUUUUGUUUGGCCAACUAGAUCUAUGAUUCUUGCAAUGAGAGAAGUGCUUGGUUUUGGGUUCAUACCAUGUGGUGACCUUUCCCAGUGACAGAAGGGGCAGCAAGCCACGCAUCGUGUUGUUGGCAUCAAGGGUAACAAGAUGGGCUUUUAUCAUAGAUAUGAGAUUGUCCAUCUACAUCAUGUCAUCUUGCUUAAGGCGUUACUCUGUUCUUUUGAACUUAAUACACUAGAUGCAUGCUGGAUAGCGGUCGAUGUGUGGAGUAAUAGUAGUAGAUGCAGAAAGUAUCGGUCUACUUGUUAUGGACGUGAUGCCUAUAGAUAUAAUCAUUGCCUUAGAUAACGUCACGACUUUGCACGGUUCUAUCAAUUGCUCUACAAUAAUUCGUUCACCCACCGUCUACUUGCUUUCAUGAGAGAAGCCACUAGUGAACACUACGCCCCCCGGGUCUAUUCACAACUAUCGUCUUCACUUUCACUUUUACUUUGCUUUGUUACUUUUUGCUUUCAGUUCUCACUUUGCAAACAAUCUAUAAGGCAUUGACAACCCCUUCAUAGCAUUGGGUGCAAGCUCGUUGUGUUUGUGCAGGUACUUGUGACUCGACGUGAACCUCCCACUGGAUCGAUACCUUGGUUCUCAAACAGAGGAAAAUACUUACCGCCGCUGUACUACAUCAUCCUUUCCUCUUCAAGGGAACACCAACGUAAGGCUCCAAGGCCGCGGGGAAAUACUUUGCAUAUUUGCCAAGGAAGUCCCUGUAGGCGUAGCCCGUGACAAAAGGAUUCCUGGCGCCGUUGCCAGGGAAGGUCUAUUGUCACAGUAGCAAGGUGGUUCGGGAAUAGUCCAAGCAUUCUCAUUGCACAAGAUAUUAUUUAAUAAGAUCUCAGCUUGUUCUAGAGUUCAUUCCCUAAAAACACAACCAGCACAACUAUCUAGGUGGUCUAUAGAAGCAUCGGUAAGUCCAUUAUAGAAGAUAUCAAGUAUUUCAUUCUUCUCAAGAGGGUGAUCAGGCAAAGCAUUCAGCAGUUGGACGAGCCUCCCCCAAGCUUGUGGGAGACUCUCUUCUUCAACUUGCGCAAAGUUGUAUAUUUCCUGCAAGGCAGCUUGCUUCUUAUGGGCAGGGAAAUAUUUUUCAGAGAAGUAGUAGAUCAUAUCCUGGGGGCUACGCACACAACCAGGAGCAAGAGAAGUGAACCAAGUCUUAGCAUCAUCCUUUAGCAAGAAAGGAAACAUCUUGAGGAUAUAAUAGUAUCGGAUCUUUUCCUCACUCGUGAAUAGAGUGGCUAUAUCGUGCAGUUUGGUAAGAUGGGCUAUAACCAUUUCAGACUCAUAACCGUGAGAAGGAUCAGAUUCGACCAGAGUGAUUAACUUAGGGUCGACAGAGAAUNNNNNNNNNNNNNNNNNNNNNNNNNNNNNNNNNNNNNNNNNNNNNNNNNNNNNNNNNNNNNNNNNNNNNNNNNNNNNNNNNNNNNNNNNNNNNNNNNNNNUUGUCUAUGUAUCCACACAUGUAAAUGAGUCUUCAUUCAAUACAAUUAGCAUGGAUAAUAAAUUAUUAUCUUGAUACAGGAAUUAUAAUAAUAACUAUAUUUAUUAUUGCCUCUAGGGCAUAAUUCCAACACCCCCUUCAUAUACGACAAUGUUGCCGUCACUUUGAGGGGGGAAGUAGCCGCACCGGGUCGACAUGGAGGGAACCUAGUGAUGGGUUGGACUCAGACCAUGUCCUGACAUGUUUCUAUGGGCUGACCUAUUGAAACGAGGUGGAAGAGUCUACUGUCUUGAUCCCCACGCUAAAAAUAAUCACACAUACUACAUUGUCAACCCCGCUGUCUCGUCUCCUCUCAACAUCAGUGUAAAUGCUUUUAAUAUCUCUCAAUAUGUGUAUAUCUCACUACGUCGACCCCAUUACUUUUACUAACUAGAAGAUGCCCCGCGCGUUGCAGCGGAAAAUUUAUUAAAAAAUAUAUAUGAAUAAAUGUUUGAAAACUAAUGUUGAUGUAAAAAAUCAUUAUAAAAAUGUCUCGGUUAAAUACCUAGAAAAAAAAUCAUGCAUGAGGGUAUGUUUUGCAUUAAGAGAUUAAUGAAAAAAAUAACUUAUGACUACAUGCAUAACUUGAUGACGUGGCAUUGUUACAUGAAGAGAAAAAUUGGGUAGUGGGUUCUAGCUAUUUAAGAGUUACAAAAUAAAAGGAUAAAUGUUAGAAAACUAAUGUUAAUGCAAAAAUUAUUAUAAAAAAGUCUUGGUUAAAUACCUAGAAAAAAUUCAUGCAAGAGGGUAUGUUUUGCAUUAAGAGAUUAAUUAAAAAAAUAACUUAUGACUACAUGCAUGACUCGGUGACGUAACAUUGUUACAUGAAGAGGAAAAUUGGGUAAUGGGUUCUAGCUAUUUAAGAGUUACAAAAUAUAUGGAUAAAUAUUAGAAAACUAAUAUUAAUGUAAAAACUAUUACAAAAAGGUCUUGGUUAAAUACCUAGAAAAAAUUCAUGCAAGAGGGUAUGUCUUGCAUUAAGAAAUUAAUGAAAAAAAGUAACUUAUGACUACAUGCAUGACUUGAUGACGUGACAUUGUUGCAUGGAGAGGAAAGUUGGAUAAUGAGUUCUAGCUCUUUUAAGAAUAGAAGAUUUCUUGGAUAAGCUGCGUGGGUGUUUGGGGUGUCCUCCGAAGGAGUAGCUGGUGUGGGUUACCUCGUUUGCCUCAGCGGGUUUGGACCGUCUUUUCACGUGUUGGUUGUUGCCGUGGGCAUGGGCAUUCAGGGCGCAAUAUACUCCACCUUCGACACCUUUGUUGAGGCGUCUUCCUCGAGUCGGGCCAGCUCCUACUGUCCAUCUCCAGAUCUCCUAGCCGCUAUGAGUGGAGAGUGCAUUGAUCUAGUUUGGUUUGGAGGUCGUGCUCCGAGCUGUUGGAUACGGAUGUGGCACUGCGUGUGUACUCUUAGCUCUACCUUUUUGCCAUUCAUGGCUUCAAUUUCAGCAAGGCAAGUAGUGUGCAAGUGUGGUCGUGGUGGAUGUGGUACUAACCUCUUGGUAUAGCAUUGUGCUGAAAGAUGUUGUUUCGGCGUAUUCUAGAUUUUUUUUUACUUCUUUCAAUUAAAUAACAAUCAAUACAAUAAGCCAUGUGUAUAUUUAGUUUUAAUUCUCCUAUCAAAAUUUUGUAACUAAGCAAAUGCGACCAAAAGAAUAUAUUGCAACCAAUCUUCUCAGCAACAUGCUAACUAUGAUCUAGUAUGAAAAUUUGCACUUUAGCUACUUGACUUGUGAUUUCAAAUUUGGGUCAGCAUUUUCUUGGAUGUUGAAUUUUGCUUUGAAAUUCGUGCUUUUCUUUCAUUUUGCCAUGUGUUGUUUGCUGUGCUGGGCUUGCUUUUUUUGGUAUUGUGAACAAUAAUAUUUUUUUAUAAAAUUGAUAAAAAAAUUGCUUCCACUGGGUUAACCAAUAUAGCAACAGGUACGCCAUUUGUACCACAAGACUACUAUCAUAUUCUCCAGUCGGGGGGCGUCUAGUUGGCCGGCCCAUUAUUGUAUAAUGAUUUUAUUUGUUUUACACUAUUUUCUUUGGGUUUUAUUUUCCUGUUUUCUUCAUUUUCCUUUUUUUCCCAUUUCUCCUCACUUUUAUUUGUUUCUUCAUUUUUCUCCUUUCUUCGCUUUUCACUGGUCUUUUCAAGAUGUCAAUAUUUUCAUAUAAAUUAUAAAUUUUCCAUAUAUAUCAGGAACAUUGAUUUAUACAUGUUUAUUAUUUUACAAAUGCAUAAUUCUUUUUAUCUUUUUUAUCUCUAGUUUUUGAAAUCCAAAAAUAUAUAUUAAAUAUAAUUAACAUUUUCAAAUAUAUAAUUAAGAUUUUAUAACAUACUUUUUCUGAAUAUUUCUUCGAAUAUGUUUUAUACAUUUUUCAACUACACCUUGAAACAUUUAUUUUUUAUUAUACUAAUUAUUUUGUUCAAAUAAUGCAAUACUUAUUUUCAUUUCUUGAUUGGUACGAAUUAUUUUUGGCUUAUAUGACUUAUUUUUUUAUUCCCUCUAUCACAAAAUAAGUGUCACGGUCUUAGUAUACUUUUGUACUAGAUUUACUACAAAGUUAAAACAGUUAUGUUGGGAUGGAGAAAGUAUUAAAUAAAAAAAUUAAAUAUCUCAUACGUUUGUUUGGAAUGCGUGAACAUUUUUGAAAUGUCACAUUCUUUUUUCUUGAAUGGUACAAAUACUUUCUAAAAGAUCAGGAAACAUAUUUUUACACUAUAUUUACAUUUUUUAAAUGUGUGAUUGAUACUUUUCAAAAAUAAAAAAAGUGAUCAUAAUAUAUUAUUUAGUAUUUUAUCAAGGGAAAAACACACAUAUGACUUCAGCGUCACGAGAACACGUAGUUUGUGGGUGGGCCCACUACCGGUUUUCCCUGCAGGGGAGACGUGAUCUAUUGUCUAAAAUGAAGCGCCCCUAUUAUUCGCCAUAAGUGAAAAACAGGAAAAUCGGGUCAGGAUCCUCCGCUGUAGUGCAUCGUGCAGUACAAUCGCUGUCAUGUGGACCCUGCCUCAUGUGUCAUCCGUACUACAGCACCGUACAGUACUGCAGAGUAUCUCAACCCAGAAAAAAUUUAUAAGAAAAGGGAGCGGCGAUUUGGCUUCCGGGUUCAGAUGAAACCAGGCAUGAACAAUAAAAUCGUAAAAAUAGAAAAAUAGUUUUAAAAAAUCCGAUUUUUUCUGCGGUUAAAUAUGCAUGAAUGUGUGAUGUUUGUGCCAAAUUUGAGAUAAUUUGUACAUCCGAGAAGCUUUCAGCAAAAAAAGACAAAAUUUGGAGCUGUGAAAAAGUGUAUUGUUUUGUACCGUCUAGACCUGAUUUUGUCUUUUUUUGCUAAGAGCUGCUCAAAUGCCCAAAUGCUCUGAAAAUUGACAUACAGAUCGUGCACUCAUGCAUCAUUUACCAUAAAAAAAAUUGAAAUUUUUCGAACUCGGCUUUUAGUUUUUUUGUUACUGUUUAUCGGGUGCAUUGGAGCUCGGGCUCAGAGAUGGAUUAUGGUCAAGAGGACUGCUACCCAAAAGAAUUGGUUGAAUCACGUGCAGACUGUCACACCGUUUAGCGUUCCCGGUCACACGGCUAUUUUUCUUGGAGAAGAAAAGAAUGGUAUAUUUUUAAUAUAGACAAAAGAAGCGACUUUGUAUGUUGAUGUUUGGUUUCCUACCAGAAAAACAGAUAGCUAUCUCGCUUAAGAAAAAACCCAGAUAAUAGAAUGUUCAUUAAUUCUAGGACAACCGUUGCAAAAAAUAUUUUAAGAAAGAUAAAUUUUGAAAUUUUCAUGAAUAUUUUUAAUAUUCAAGAAUUAAAAUUUUUGUUUAAAAAUGGUCGUGAAUUUUUAAGAACAAUGGACAAAUGAACCCAUAAUUAAAAACCAGAUAAAAAUCUGUAAACUAAAAACCAAAUUAAAAAAUAAUACCAAAGGAACUAGAGAAGAAAAAAAGCAUCAGAACGCACAGAAAAACUUCAAUAAAAACCAGCGAAGAAAUCAGCCAAACUGGACUGGCCCAAUGCAGCGGCAGAGGUGCAUGGUUUGUACCAAGAGACCACUGUUCUUCGCUAAGAAUAGGAAAUUCCAUUAAGCUGCUGCCAUGACUUUUGUGUUGUUUGUUUCGGUGUGCCCAACUAUGUUCGCAUCUAUUGUUGUCUCUACUCCCUCCUUACCUAAAUAAUUGUCGAACUAUAAUUAUUUAGGUACAGAAGAAGAAAAUAGUAUUGAUAUGCCCGAGCAAGAGCAGGCCGAGUGUACUCCAUCUACCUGUUGAGAUCUGCCCGCGCACGGAGACGGAGGGAUUUCGUGGAGCAAAAAGCACGCCAAAGCCUUCACGUGAUCCAUCCAAUUUCUUGAACGUCAAAAAGAGAGUUUGAUGGCUGGCCUGAGUACGGACCAGGCAAAGGCAGCCAUCGCUACCUACAAUGUGUGCUUGACACAAAUCCUGGAAGUAGAUGCAUAGUUACCACUUCUAAGGAUCCUUUGAACCCAACACCCACACCAAGGUUCAAGUACAUGUUCUACUGCCUCCACGCAUCAAAGGAUGGAUUCCUUAGUGCUUGUAGGCCUUUCAUAGGUAAAUUUCAGUGAUGUACUUCUUUGGCAAGUUCAACUUCUGGACAUAAUUGAUUCAUUUGACCCUAAAUUUCACUAUUUAUGCAAGAUUUGAUUGUUGUUUCAUCAAGUUAUCAACAUGACAACACAUAUUGGUAGCUAUAUGGAGAGAUGGGAACAACAAUAUAUCCCCAUUGCUUUUGUCGUGGUUGACAAAGAUGAUGGUGACAACUGGACAUGGUUUCUUAACCAGCUUAGAGUGUGCAUCGGCACCAGUAACAAAUUUGGGGACUACACAUUUCUGACAGACAAAAUGUAUUUUCUUAUUUCUUUGAACAUAACUGCAUUAAUAAGAGUAAUUCACAUUGUCAUGCUACUUUGCUAUAGUUUUCUAAUUUGUUGCUCAUGAAAUCAAACAACAUGGUCUUCUUAAGGUAAUUAAUUAAGUAUUUCCUCAAUCACCACAAAGAUAUUGCCUUAGACACAUAUAUGCCAACUUCCAGUCAGCUGGCUUUAGAGCAGAAGAAUUUAAAAAAUGGGUUGACAAAGCUAGCUAUUCCUUCACUGAGCAUGGUCACAAACUUGGAAUGGAUGGUUUGAAAGCAGCAUGUGAACUAGAUUACAUGUGGCUGAAUGGCAUCCCUAAGGAGUGUUGGGCUAGAUAUGUAAUGGAUCAUGUUUGCAAGACUCACUUGGUUGUCAAAAACCUUAGUGAGGUUUUCAACAAGAUGAUUCUAGAUGUUAGGUCCAAGCAAAUUAAGACCAUGUUUGAAGGGUUGAGGACCAAACUAAUGGUUAAGUACAAGGGCAUCACAGAGAAAACAGAAAACUGUAGGUGGGAAAUAACCAUUCAUUACAUGGAGAGGCUUGAAGAGAGCAAGAAAUAGGCUAAAUAUUGUGAAGCAGACAUGGCUGGUCCCAACAUCUGGCAAGUUACUAGUGGAGAAAACAUGUAGUGUGUGAACUUGAAUGAAGGGAGUUGUUCUUGGAGGAGGUGGGACAUGACAGGAUCACCUUGCCACCAUGCAAUAGCUGCUAUGCAGAAGAUAAAAGUUCACACCCUGAAGAUUAUGUGCAUCCAUUCUUUAAGAAGGAAAUGUACAAGGCUGCAUACCAACACAUCAUCUACCAUGUUCCUGGUCAUGAAUUCUGGCCAAACACAAACACAUGAGACAUAGAGCCACCAGUAUUUAGGGAGAAGAAAAGGGAGAAGCAGACAACUAGGAAAAAGGGUUAGUUUGAAGUGCCAACUCCUAAGGAUACAUCUAGGAUGGGCACAAUAACCUGCAUUAACUGCAGCAAUCAACACACUUCCAAGGCAUCAUCUGGUGCAGUGAGCAUUUGGGAACUUCCUCCAUGGGAGCACCAAGGAACGAUGGCUCGAGGAUGAUGUCAGGUGUCUCCUACACACGGUAGAAGCUAAAUCAGUCAAAGAAUCCAUUCAAUAUUUACAGAUCCAUCAAGCACUGCCUAAACCAAAGAUUCAACCAAGGAAUCCAUCCAUAGUUGCAAAUCCUCAACCCUAAAUCCAAAAUCAAAUGAACCCUAACCCUAAUUCUAAGUAAUGGAGAGGGACAAGAGAGGAUGAUACUUACAAAGUACUCCAUAUCCAUUAGGUUUCCGCCCAUGUUGUCGUUGUCGGAGCUCUCUUCCACAUCAUUCCAAGAAGACAUCCUUGCCGGCGACGAGGAAGAAGGUGGUCGGCGACGAAGGCGAGCAAGGGCAUGGGAGAACAGAGCGAGGAAGAGAGUGAGAGUGAGUGUGAGUGAGAGAGAGUGAGCGAGAGGAGCCCGGCCGGCUCGGUCCUUUUGACCCCGGUCGGAACGAAUUGCUCUAACGGCCGUCCGCAUGCGCGCCGUCAUCCCCUGGCCGACAGAAGCCCGACGGGCGGGCCCUACAUGUCAUAAACGCAAUUAAAAUGUAACCGUUCGGCCACUUGGGUUUUUAAAGCAGCGUACCACUUUUGCGGUAGUUUUUUGAAAGAUUAAAAAGAGUGAUAGUUUUCUAUGGUCAACACAUGUAACGUGGUAAUUUUUUUGCUACAUACUCUUUUUGUGACAAUGCCAAUUAUAUCAUAUAGGGAACACAUGUGCAGGCAGACUCCUCGUUGUCGAUGGGAACAACGGCCUCACAAAAAGAAAAUCUGCAGUCCAUUCUGAAGAGAGACAAACUUGAAUGGGUUAUUUGAUUUUUCUUAGAAAAAGCUUCUAUCAUGUGGUCAACCUAUGUGCCGUGUUUCACUCACGAUGCCUAUUGCUCCUCCAACUAUUGGAACUCCCUGCCGGUCUUUCCCUCUUCCUAUGAAAGUAAAAUAACAUGUGAUACUCGAAAAAAAACUAGUGGAUUAUUAAGCUGACAACGCAUCCGCUCAGAAUACGGAGAGAUGCACAAAAUGGAUUAUUGGCACUAACGGCUGGAUAUUAUUCUCAACAGAUGCAAGGUGUGCAAAGCCUAUAAAAUUCAUUAUGUCAUGUUAGCACUAAGCUAGAACUGCAGCACAUGGUCACAGGUCACUGUGCCACCCCCUGACACCCUUAUAAGUCGUGAUGUACGAGACCACGUAUAUCAUUCCUACACAAAAGAUGCUAACAAAAUGGGUUAGCUGUCCUAGCUAAAAAAAAUGCGAAAAAGGGGGUGCCCUAAGCCCCUAACUAAUUUGUUCCCUAGAUGCUAUAAAUACCCUCUCCAGCUUCCUCUCUAUUAAUACAGCCCCAAAUCUCUCUCUCUCUCCAUGGCCAUGGAUCUCCCCUCCAAUUUCGAGUUGGUUGAUAACAGUACACUCACUGAAAUCACAAAGUUUACAAUCAAACACGUGUACUUGCAUCACAUCUAUUCCGGGCCAAACCCAAAUCAGUUACAAUUAAUAGCCGGCACUAAUGGGUUUGGCUCGACUUUUGUUAACAGUUGGGAAAUAUAUGAUGGGGUCGGCCCUAAGGCACAUGUGAUUGCCCGUGCGGAUGGUCUACAUAUGCAUUCUAAGAGUUGGCACAAUUCGUUCUCCAUGUUGUUCGAGGUUGAAAGGUAUGUACUCCCUCCGUUCCUAAAUAUAAUUUUUUAAGAGAUUUUACUAAGUGACUACACACGAAGCAAAAUUAGUUGACCUAUACUUUAAAAUAUGUUUAUACAUUCGUAUGUAGUUCAAUAGUGAAAUCUCUAAAAAGACUUGUAUUUAGGAACGGAGAGAGUAGAAGAUUAACUUGUAUUUGAUGGUGCACCGUGUAUUUUUUUCCCAGAUGAUCACUCCAUUCCGUAUUUAGGCCAUUCUUUUAGUCACUGCCUUAGCGAUAGGAACAAGCACCCAUCCCAUUUUAUUGAUGACAAUAAUUACCGCUUUCUUGGAAGCGCACUAGAAACUGUCCUUUAAAUGGUAGGAUGGAGGUUGGUUCCAACCUACGAUCCUUGGUAGACGCCUAGGUGCCCCACACCUUCUAUUAAUAUAAGAGCAUCUUCAACAGUUCGUAUGUUCACACGUUGAUAUAAGUUUCCACAUCAACAACCAACAACACAUCAUACAAGGUCUUCAAUGAAGUGUAUGUUAAUCGUAUGUAAGAUAACUAAGCGGGUUCACUAAACAUGAAAGAAAUAACCAUGCUUGCCUCGGAGCUUGUGCGUGAACCGUUGUUUCAAGUUCAUACGAUUGCAUUCUCUCUCUCCUUUUAUUAUGCGCCAUGUCAUUAAAAUCAUUUAUGUGGUAAUUUUACCAACGAUGAUCAUACAACCAUUGAAGAUGCCCUAACAAUUUCCACCCUUUGUAGUUCAUUUUUUAAUUAAUGCAUUACUGUAGACUUUUGGUGCAUGAUAGCUAUGAUGUGCAACUGAUUUCGCAGGUUUAAGAACUCCACUCUUCAAGUUCUGGGGUCAUCCGUUGAGAAAGAAGGUGAGUGGGCUAUCGUGGGUGGGACCGGUGAAUUCGCAAUGGCACGUGGCGUCAUCAAGAUAAAAGUACAUGAGAAAAUACCUGGUGGAGAAAUACUUGAGCUUGAUAUCCUUGGAUAUUGUACUAUGCCGGUUAGGGGAAUAUUCAACGCCCUUUGUUUUUAUGUAUGUUAUUUUGCUAUUUAGUAUGAUUUUCACAUGCAUUGCACUUGCACACUACGCAGAGCCGUGCUCUUGCUGUUACGAAAAGUGAAGCAUGGGGUUCAAACGGAAAUUUCGUUCAUGACAUCAACGAAAAACCUUUGCGUCUACGGAGUGUGACCGUUCGCACCAGCGACCUCUUCGAUGGAAUUAAGUUUACUUACAUUGACCAAACUGGGCAGACUCGUACCGAAAACCUAUGGGGUUUUAGUCAAGAUGGAUCGGAGCACACAGUGAGUAUUUGUUUUCAGAUUUAAUUAUUUUUUCUCAUGCAUGCCUUUUUUUUGUUUUUUGAAAAGGAUGAAAAUCUACGGAGAACCUAAAAAAAUAAAUACAUGAACCAACACAAAGCCAUCUGUCUGUCAACUAUUACCGCUACACCUACAAUUCUGAUAAGAUGCCUUCACCAAAUAUCAACACACUGCAUCUAUUCGGGUGGCCUAAUCAAGCCUCCCUCUGGCAUGCAUGUGCACGGGACAUAUAUCACUCAGUGAGAAUAUUUUUCUCCCUAUUGUUUGCAGGUCACACUUGGUCCUUCAGAGUUUCUGAAGGAAGUAUCCGGUGUAAUUGAUAACUCCAAUGAGCCGAACUAUUUUGUACGGUCAAUAAAAUUGGUCACCAAUCAAAGAGAGUUUGGACCUUUUGGUGGAGCUCAAGGUGGUACUGAGUUCAAAAGCAGGGUGCCAGAGGACAGCAUGAUUGUGGCUUUCCAUGGCAGCAGUGGCGAUAAUUGGCCCGGCCAUUAUAGGAUGCACUCGAUCGGUGUUUACUCGAUUCCUCGGAACGUCCUCACUACCUAGUAAUACUGCUGCUGAUUGCGGCUCUUUUAGCCAACGUGUUUGUUUAAUUUGUUUGGUUCCAACAAAAGAUGGUCAGGGUCAUAUCCUGCCAGCCAGUAAUCCGAGUUCUUGUCAUGUCGAGUCUUUUGUUUUUAACUCCACUCUUUGCUGGGAAUCAAAUGUUGUAAUGUUUCAAUACAUGAUUUACGUUUUGGUAUUUCACAUCACUCUCUGCUUCGAAACAUAUGUAGUGUCAUGUUAGAGCAUAUCUAGAGACGGACUCCCAAACCACUCCCCUCACCCCUACAGGGCGGAUGGCCCUGUCAAUGAUCGGCAAAAAAUAAAACAGACCAAAAUGGGCUCCUCAUACCGGUUCUAAACGCACACUGACCAACACUCUUCACAUCCAGCAUGAAUCUCGGGCAGAUAUGGGGAGGUCCGGGCACAUCCAUCAUGUCCUAGGUGUCGAGGCAACAAAUCUGACAAUGAGUACUGGACGUGCGAAUAGAGGCAGAACCUAGCUACGACACAGGUGUGACAUUCACAUUUACGAGUUCAGACCCCUCACGGAGAGGUAAUAGCCCUACGUCUCGAGCUUUGGAGCUAUGUUUUUUUUCUCAAGAGGUGUCUGAUUACAAUAGAUUGUGAACCCUUGUCAUGGCGCCGGAGAGGGUCUUAUAGAGAGUACACCCAUACUCAUUAAUGCUACUCCCUCCGUUCCUAAAUAUAAGACCUUUUAGAAAUUCCACUAUGAACUACAUACGGAUGUAUGUAGUCAUAUUUUAGGAUGUAGAUUCAUUCAUUUUGCUCCGUAUCUAGUCCAUAGUGUAAUUUCUAAAAGGUCUUAUAUUUAGGAACGGAGGGAGUACGUUACAAGGGGAGAUAAGAGGAGGAGUAACUAUGGGCGUUACUGGUAACUGCCUCUAUAACUAUAUUUGAAGUCCAACGUUAAGCCUCUCAAACAUUAUAGCUCACACAUUGUCUCUGCUCCGAGUGUCGUUGGUAAGGCCGACUGGUGGGAAGACGACCGAGUGGCUAGACCAUAUCCGAGUGGAUAUCCUGGGGUGCGCAUCUGAAUGCGCCUAUGGUCCGAAGACCUUUCAAUUACGGUGUGGGACCCUAGGUGGGCCCCAGAUGUCAGGUCUAUGACCCUAUCCUUAAUAGGUGACCCAUCAUUAAUCCUCGAAUCGGCUGAGGUUUCGUAGGACGAGUUGGAUGAACUCUUGACUUGGACCUAGUGCUUCGGAAGCGCUCAAGAUCCGUCGCCAAGUGAUAACCUAUCGUGGCCUGAGCGAAACUGCAACGGAUUCUGGACUAGGAAUUUCCCGCCUGAUCGAUCGGGUCAUGUUGACUGCAGGUCAAAACUUGGUGCCAUUCGUACAUCUCUCGGAAGAGAUAGACUAGGGGCGUGUUUGGAUGGGUGCCUCGCACCUGGCUCGCAUCACGGAUGCAGAAUCCAGCUCGUUUGGUUACCUGUGUGGCCUCCUCGGCCAGGCCCGACAGAUGCAGAAAGAGGCCUCGCAGGAAUCUAGCGUUUCUCUGAUGCAUCCUCACGCCUGCACCCGCGGCUCCACUUAAAACGAAACGGUAUAUGGGAUCGACCUCGUCAUUUUUCAGAAUUACAUCAAUACUGCCACCGAAACCAACCGUGUAUCUCUCUUUCCUCACCUCUCUCUCACGCAUCAGAUCGGAUCGAACAGGCAAACCAUUCGCCGUCAUGGUGGUCGGAGCUCCCUUUUGUGCCGUCGGUUGAAUCUUCCUUGUCCCCAGCCGGUGAGCUUCCCUGUCCGCCUCAAUCCUGCCAUUUGAACUCCUUUCGGGAGCUCCCUCGUCCACCGUGACCUACUGCCGGACAUCUGUGCUCCUCCGCUCGCGGGCUUAGUCUGCGUCAAGGGCGGAGGCCCCGGCUGUGCCGGCUCGGCAAGACCACUCGCGUUGGUGGCGGCUUGAUCUGGUCAUCGAAUUUUCGUCACUAUAAUGCUUUGGGGAAGUACUUGGUUGACUUCUCAUACAACCUACCAAACAAUAUCUCACAUUAGUCUGCCCCACGCCAUGCACACAACCAAACAUACAUCUGAACUCAGUUUUGCAUCAGAUUGGCCAGGCUAGACUCAACCAGGAUGGUAGAUACGAUGCAGUUUGAGGCUACGCAAGGAACCAAACACGCCCUAGAGGUUUGAAUGCCGGUGUGUGGGCUAACUCUCCGGAGAGACAUCACUCAUUAUCUGAGAGAACGCUAGCACGGGUCAUCUCCAAGUCCAAGUUAAUAAGACUCAUGCCAUGAAACCUAGAAAAAAUGCCUAGUUAAUCCGCAGAGGACCAUCGAGCUCAUCCCAUUGCAGUCCUGAAGUUGACUUCAGUCGCUUUGGUUACGUGCCCAAGUGCACGGUGACCCCCAGAGGGUAUUCGGCGGACCGAAGAGUGUUCCUUCGGAAAGGAAUUAAAAACAAUCAAUCGGAUUGAAUCGCAACAGAAAUUUCGCGAUUUGAGGAAGGUACAUGCGCACGGAUUACGUCACGGUUAGUGGAGAACGUGACGUACUGAUACAUCUCUAAUGUAUCUAUAAUUUUUUAUUAUUUCAUACUAUUAUAUUAUCACGGUAGGAUGCUUUUUAGGCAUUUACUUGCUGAUUUAUAUUAUUUUGAAGCGUUAACCUACUAACCUAGUGUCAAGUGUCAGUUGCAAUUUUCUACAUGUUUUUGGCUUUUCGAAAAUACUAUACCAAACAAAGUCUAAAUUCCCUGAAACUUUCCGACAUUUUUUUAUGCAUAGAAUAAGGACCUGGAAGCUUCGGAUGGAGACCGGAGGCCCCACGGGGUGGCGCCAAGCCAACAGGAUGGGCCCAGGGUGGUGGUCGCACCCUGAUGGCUUGGGGCCACCUUCUUUGCCCUACGGCCCUCCUCUUUGUUCUAUAAAUUCACAUGUUCCCGAAAAAACCUAGGAAGCCACCUGAAACACUUUUUUCAUUGUCCCAAGUCUUUGUUUCGUCGUAUGCCCAUCUGGAGCCAUGUUCUGAUGCCCUGCCGGAGGGGGGCCGAUCACGGAGGGCCUCUACAUAAACCUUGUUGCUUCCAUGAUGAUGUGUGAAUAGUUCAUCACAGACCAACGGGUCCAUAGUUAGUACAUAGAUGGAUAUCUCUCUCUAGGUUCUUCGUUGCCAUGAUCAUCGCGAUUUUAUCUUAUGUAAUCACUUUAUGCGGUGAAUUUGUUGGGAUCGGAUGAAUUGUGGGUUUAUGUUCAUAUUAUUCAUGAAAUAUAUUUGAGUCUUCUCUGAAUUCUUGUAUGCAUGAUUGUGAUAGCUUCGUACUUUUUUCCGAUCUAUUGACUUCGUUUGUCCAACUAGAUUGAUCAAUCCUCCGUGAGAAAGGUGCGUUGUAGUGGGUUGAAUCUUGCAGUGCUCAAUCCCAGUGAAAGAAAGGGACAUGACACGUAUUGUCUUGUUGCCAAUAAGGGUAAAAUGAUGGAGUCCAUUCAUAUUAAUAGGAUUUACUUUGUCUACGUCAUGUCAUUGUUUUCCAAGCAUUACUCGUUUCACUUAAUACUCUAGAUGCAUGCUAGUAGCUGUCGAUGGCAGGAGUCAAUCUACUUGCUUAUGGAUGUGAUGCCUAUAUGUAAUGACCAUUUUCAUGAAUAAAUAUUGCAUAACUAUGCGCUUUUCUAUCAAUUUUUCGACAGUAACAUGUUUACCCACCGUAUGUUUUCUACAAGAAAGAAGCCUCUAGCGAAAGCUAUGCCCCCCGUGUCCAUUCAUAAAUAUAUUUUUCAAAAAUACUAAAUACCUCGCUUCCUUUUUUAUUUAUAUUUAAUUUUUAUAUUUAGUAUAUUUAUACUAUCUAUCUAUCACUAGUUAUCGCUUGUAAAUAACGAGUUCAAGGGGAUUGACAAGCCUCUUGCCCGCAUUGGGUGCAAGUGUUUACUCUUUUGUGUGUAGGCUCUAAAGACGGGAAAUUGCAUAGUUCUCCCAUUGGUUCGAUAACCUUGGUUCUCAAAGAGGGAAGUACUAUCUAUAAUGUGCUGCCUCAUCCACUCCUAUUUGGGGAAAAACCCAACGCAGAUCACAAGUAUGAGGAAGGAUAUCUCACGCCGUUGUCGGGGAGUAUCACCAAUUUCCUAUCAAGUACCUACUCACAAAUUAUCAUUCACUUGUUUUACUUUUUAUUUGUCGUUAUAUUUUGCUUGCUAUAAAAAUUUAAAAUAUAAAAAUAUUUAUCUUUGCUAGUUUACUUGUUUGCUUGUUAUCGUUGCUAGUUUACUCAUUCUGCUUGUUACUUUGCUUGCUAGUUUACUAGUUUUGUCAAGAAUGCAAAUGGCAUGCACAUAUAGGUGAUGUUUUUUGAGCAUUUUGAUAUCUUUUUGUUUUUCUAAGUUAGUAUGAAUAGUUUAUGAAGUUUUCAAAGUGUCGGUCAAACGAUCAAAGGGCAAAAGCAUAAGCAAAGCAAAAUGGUUUCGGUGGGAACAAGUGUUUUCUAAAACUAGGGGUAAACCUGCCGAGUGUGACCCAACUAGGGGCAUAAAUUCAAUUGUCCCAUUAAAUAAUGCCCCACUCAUGGUUUAAAUUUAUGGAUGAUUAUACAAAAUUUAUGUGCGAGACUACACUUUGUAUCUAGAAAUCUUCUAGAUUCUACCGCAAGUGAUACCUUCCUGGAGGUGACAUUAGGAGAGGCCUCAGUGAUGACGGACAACAUCAUGAAACACUAUUCUCAAUGGCAUACUGAAAGAGCUCCAACUGGUAAGAAGGUCAAUUCGCUUGAGCAUGCUAAACAAUUUUAAAUAUGCAUGAGGGUUGUAAAAUAUUAAUCUACGCGAAAUUCUAGUCAAGUUACAUAUAUAACUCGUCGCGAUCCGACGCAUGGAUUAAAACUUACGAGCGUUUGAAAAUUAUGCUCUUUUCUGAAAAAGAAUUAAAUCGCAGGUGCUAAAAAACCUACAUGGGUCGAAUAUGUCUAAGGGCUGAAUCGGAGCACGGAUGCUGGAUAGCUAAAGGUCGCCUCGGGCGCACAAUAGAGGGGCCAGGGGGUCUCACCUUCGUGGGCUUCGGCCCAGGUGGAGGAGAGGCGAAGGCUCGCCCUGUUGAGGAGGCCGGCCGGGGCGAAUCUGGCCAACUGGGCCGUGGGCGAUGCGGGUCAGCAGGGCUGCAGCCCACUGCUGGUCAACGGGGUCGGCUAACCCCAUAUCCGAUCGAGAUCGGGGCUACGGCGCUGGGGGCGAUGGCGAUUGGGCGACGGGGCGACGAGGAACGGGGCCGGCCGAUGAUGGGUUGAGAGAAGAGAGGGUUUGCGGCCCGACACAAGACUUUCAAAACACCGAAAAACGUGUGACGAUAAACCGAGGACGGUGCCACUACGGUCAACCGUUUGGGUAUCAAACGGACUCGAAUUGCGACGAAAUUUGGCAGACGGCCUACCUACACUAUAUUAAGACCGCACGCCAAGUUUCAACCCAAUCCGAUAAUAUUUUAUACACACUUUUAAAAACAAUGUUUUAACGAUGUCGCGGGCGCCUGCGUGUGUGGUUGGUCCCAAAACGGUCAACGACGAACACGGAGAGGACCGACAACUAAUAACGGAUGUAGGUUUUGAAAACCGGUGGCAACGGAGUGCCGAUGCAAUGCUGAUGAUGCUAAUGAUGUGAUGAUGAAUGCGAUAGACAAUCUAAUCGCACAACGGCAAUGGAAUAAAAGGGAAAUCUUCUGGAGCGUCGGUCUCGGGUUGUCACAGUGUUGGUCCAUCACUACCUCAAUAGCCAGCGCACAUUGUUCCGUGGCUCCAUUCCGGACCAACUUCCGGCGUUGAAUCGCAACCGAGAGAGGGCAUCUCCUUCUUUGGAAGGACUACUUAGAGACAACAAAUCCAUUGUUCAAACAUCAGAAAUUCCGCCGUCGUUUUCGUAUGAGUGGGCAUCUUUUCAACCAUAUUAGAGAGGGGGUUAUCGGCUACGAUGACUAUUUCGAGUGCAAAGAGGAUGACUGCUUGUGUGAUCAUGUACAAUAUGAUCGUAAAAGAUGAGCGUCCGAAACAUCGGUACGAUCAAGGAUUUCAGUUUCAGGGUGAGAAUAUUGUGCCUGCUAAUACCUGGAGCACGCGGAAACUGUUGGAUGUGAUGACUUCUUGUGUGGUCAUGCACAAUAUGAUCAUAAAAGAUGAGUGCCCGGAACGUCUGUACGAUCAAGUAUUUCAGUUUCACGGUGAGAAUGUUGUGCCUGAGCAUGGAAGAGCGGCACCGUUUGAACAGUUCAUCCAAUUUCACCAUGACAUGCGUGAUUGAGAAACUGAUGUGCAACUGCAAAAUUAUUUGUUAAACAUAUGUGGGCUCAUGUUGGCAACCAAUAUAUGUAUCUUCUUUAUUGGGCUUGUAAAACUAUGCUAUUUUAUUCGGUUGAAAAUUUGACUAUAUGUUUGAAUGCAAAACAAUGCAAAAAAAUAAUAUAUAUAUAUAUAUAUAUAUANNNNNNNNNNNNNNNNNNNNNNNNNNNNNNNNNNNNNNNNNNNNNNNNNNNNNNNNNNNNNNNNNNNNNNNNNNNNNNNNNNNNNNNNNNNNNNNNNNNNUAUAUAUAUAUAUAUAUAUAUAUGUUGAAAUAGGACGGUCAGUCGGCCACGCCGGCAUAUAUGGGACGGCGCGUUGGGCGCAGUGCCGAUUCAAAUCUAAAACAGGGCGGACACCGGACGGGCGGCCUAUCCAAAGGGACAAAAAACGGACAAAAUCACCGUCCGUUUGGGUCGGCCCAUUGAAGUUGCCCUGAAUAUGUUUAUAUUACUUUACGGAAGGAGUACAUGAUAGGUCCUUAUUAGAAACCCCUUUAUCGAAAAGGCUACAUGAUGGGUUUGCGGGUGUUCGGGAAAAAGUGUUCUUCUACACCCGAGCUCGGAUGAACAGUGAAUUCGAACCAUAUUUUAAAAUGCUUAAGAAAAUAUGAAAAAAAAAAUACAGCAAACUUUAACGAAUGUUCUAAUAGCUUGCAAAAUUUUAGUACGAAAUCAUAGUUUUUAAGUCGUGGCAGAAAAUCAAAAUUAGUGUUCCAGAAUGCUUUUGGAAGUAGCAUUUUUCAGAGUUUUGAUUUUGUUUUUCUUACGACUUUCUCAAAUGCGAUUUCAUGAUGAAAUUUUACGAACACUUACAACAUUUGUUAAAGUUUGCCUAAAAAAAUCAGAUUUUUAAAAUAAUUUUUAAANNNNNNNNNNNNNNNNNNNNNNNNNNNNNNNNNNNNNNNNNNNNNNNNNNNNNNNNNNNNNNNNNNNNNNNNNNNNNNNNNNNNNNNNNNNNNNNNNNNNCUUUGAUGAGAUGAUCAAAGAUUUUGGGUUUGUACAAGGUUUAUGAGAAACUUGUAUUUCCAAAGAAGUGAGUGGGAGCACUAUAGAAUUUCUGAUAAGUAUAUGUGGUUGACAUAUUGUGGAUCAGAAGUAAUGUAGAAUUUCUGUAAAGCAUACAAGGUUGUUUGAAAGGAGUUUUCAAAGGAAUACCUGGAUUGAGCUACUUGAACAUUGAGCAUGAAAGAUCUAUGGAGAUAGAUCAAAAGCGCUUAAUGGAAGUUUCAACAAGAUGCAUGCCUUGACAAGUUUUUGAAGGAGUUCAAAAUAGAUCAGCAAAGAAGGAGUUCUUGGUUGCGUUGUAAGGUGUGAAUUUGAGUAAGACUCAAAACCCGACCACGGCAGAAUAAAGAGAAUAGACGAAGGUCGUCUUCUAUGCCUUAGCCGUAGACUCUAAAGUAUGCCAUGCUGAGUACCGCACCUGAUGUGUGCCUUGCAGCAAGUCUGUUAAGAGGUACACAGAGUGAUCCAGGAUUGAAUCACUGAUCGGCGGUCAAAGUUAUCCUUACUAACUAAAUAGACUAAGGAAUUUUUCUCGAUUAUGGAGGUGGUUAAAGAGUUCGUCGUAAAGGGUUACGUCGAUGCAAGCUUUGACACUAAUCCGAAUAACUAUGAGUAGUGAAACGGAUUCGUAUAGUAGAGUAGAUAUUUGGAGCAUUUCCGAAUAGCACGUAGUAGCAGCAUCUAUAAGAUGACAUAAAGAUUUGUAAAGAACGCACGGAUCUGAAAGUUCCAGAACCGUUGACUAAAACCUCUCUNNNNNNNNNNNNNNNNNNNNNNNNNNNNNNNNNNNNNNNNNNNNNNNNNNNNNNNNNNNNNNNNNNNNNNNNNNNNNNNNNNNNNNNNNNNNNNNNNNNNCACGCCAGAUCCCACCCCGUCGCCCCCCUCCUCUCCACCUCGCCUCCCCUCCCAGAUCCUCCCCCACCGGCCUUCUCCCUCCACCGCCCCCUACCCCGGCGGCCCCUCAUCCCCCUCACUCCCCUGCGGCCCCUCCCCUGCCCACAGGCUUGUAGGGUCGUGGGUCGAGCCGAUGAUGCGUAGAUUGCUAUAUUCUCUCACUUAGAGGCUAAACAAUCCAUGGCUAGUGGGCCAGCCCUAAAUUAAUGCUUUAUGCAGUGCCACUAACUAGAAUGCAAGUAAGCCACUGAUCACAGAUAGCUGGACCUCAAAUUAAGAAACAGUCUUAAAUAGGUCUUGGAAUGAGGAUUUAAGAAUCCUUACAAAAUAUGAUUGACCAGCCUACAGUGCAGAAAGGGAAAACUAACUCGGCCCUGCAGUACAAUUGGUACAGUCAUGCACAAGUUUGUAUAACUUUCUAUCUGAAUGGCGAUUUGUUGUUUACAAUUGCUUAAUACGUAAAGCUAGAGAAACUAGUACAAAUAACAUGACUAGUGUGAUAGGGAGGGUAAUUUAUACCCUUAUCUGACCGGGGGUACACCCAUCGUAGUGGUUUCAUCAGCUAAACCAUACUAGUUUAUCCCAGAUGGGAACUAAAACCAUGUAGCAGCAUCCAUCAAAUAGACGACGCAGAGGGAACAUUGCUUUAUGCAUUCAACAAACAGUAACCAAAAGGGCAUCAUAUCUAUUGAUCUUGCACUGAAAAUUAAAGAAAAUAGUUUAGGGGACUACACCAGGGAGCAAAAGUUUAACACGUAACUGCAUCCACAAAAGUAUAAUAAAAAAAGUUUAACACAUAACUGCAUCCACAAAAGUAUAAUAAAAAAAGUUUAACACAUAGCCUCAUCCACAAAAUAAUAUCAAAUGAGAGGCAUCCAGAAAAGAAACCUUUAUCUGUACCCUUAGUUUAUAAAACGCUAUACUUGGUUUUCAGGUGUAACUAAUCCUUCAGAUGAAAGUUCGACAACAGAGUAUAUCUGUAAACAUAGGUUAUUGCAAAAACCAUAGAACUAAAUAUGCAUCAUCUUCCUCCAGAAAGUCCUGUCAUGGUCGCCGCCACAGAUGGGCAUGACAGGAUAUGCUGCCCAAAUUCUUCAUCCCUGCUAGUAAGGCUCAAAAAACUUGGCUGGUAAUCAGGGAGUAGCACAUCCUUUGAAAGGUAUUGCAUAACUAGGCGCAUGCAUGGCCUAGCACUUUGUGCUGAGUGUGAGCAGAGCAAGCCAAGCUUUAGUACUAACUCUGCUUCCUCACUGAGAUAAUCUUCUAAUUUCGGGUCUACCGUAUUGAGGAUUGAACCACUCUCCCAUGCAUCAACCACCCAGUCUGUCAGCAGCACUGGCUCACCAUCAGAAUCAUUCACUUGUAUUGGACGCCUCCCACAAACAACCUCCAACAUGAAGACACCGAAUGCAAAGACGUCAGUUGCCUUGGUUGCCCUUCCUAGCCUAGACAGCUCCGGAGCAAUGUACCCCCAGGUGCCAGCCAAAUGUGUGGUGUGGGCAUCUGUACCAUGGUUGUGUAAUCUUGCCAGACCAAAAUCACCCAAUCUACCGUUCAUUUCAUUGUCGAGGAGCACGUUGCUUGCUUUGAUGUCUCGAUGGAUGACUACCUUCUCCCAAUCCUCGUGGAGGUAGCAAAGACCAGCUGCAAUGCCUUUUAUAAUGUUGAAUCUGUGAACCCAGCCUACAGUCUGCUUAUCUCGACCAUGCAAAACUCUGUCCAGACUACCAUUUGGCAUGUAAUCGUAAACCAGAAGGAGCUCGCUCUUGUUGCGACAAUAACCGAGCAAUUGCACAAGGUUGCGAUGGUGGAGAUGGCCUAGGAUGGUUAUCUCAGCUAUGAAUUCCUUCAUCCCCUGCUUUGACUCUGGUGAAACCCGCUUGAUGGCAACAUUUUGCUUCGAGGUUUGCAGCAGCCCUUUGUACACUUUCCCAAAUCCUCCUUUCCCAAGAAGCAUCUUGUCACUGAAACUGUUAGUUGCAGCAGCAAGAUCUUUAUAUGUGAAGGAUGCUGACCCACAAUCAAUUUCCCAAUCACCACUUUGCCUUGCUUUCUUCAUAUAAACAUAAAUAGCGACAAUAACAACAGUUGUGAUGAACACCGACACAAUAAUAACUGGUAUAAGAACACCCUUAGGGACAUGGGAGCGACUUUGAGCAUCGCGUCGAACAUCUUGUAUAAUUUCAGACAACACUGAGUAGUUAAGUGGUUUAGCCUCCCCAUUUGGAUUGAAACUCCAGCCGAUAAUGCGGUGUAUGGAUCUUACGGUGCUGGUUGCAGAGGCAAAGCCAACAUAUACUGAUCUUGGCAAAACCGAUGUAAGAUUGAUAGUAUUGGAUAGCAGUGGGCGCUGAGGCUUCUGCUCUAGGUAAGGUGCUAAACUGACAUUCACUUGGUGUGAACUGUCAUCAUAAUCCACCCAUACUUGCAUCGGUUUUCCACUAAUAAGUAGCAAAUCAGUGAAAUUGCCAUCUGGGGUAUAGUAUCCAGCAGGAUGGGAAUUGAUAGACACCAAGGUGUUUACAUCGAUUCCAACAUGGUUACUAUUAAUAUCCCUGAAUUCGGGAUUUUGGAUGGUAUCAAGCUCGACGGCAAAGAGUUGAUUUGUCACAUUGCCGUUGUUUUCAGGGUUGAAGAUGCCCAUGUACUGAGACGGGGAGGCGCCCAAUAAAGAGUCCGUCGUGGCAGAAACCGUAAAGGCAAGCCCAUGCCCGCCUAAAUCAGAGUAAGGAGGACUGAUGACGAACACGAAGGUUGUUGAGAAUGAGGAAAUAGAGUCAAACCGGCCUCCGAAGAAAGCGCGUCCUACACUCUGGGCAACACCAUCGGUUAGCAUGAGAGCUCUGCUUGAGAUUGAAGCUACACCAUCAAACCGGAGCAUGCCACUAGAGAAACCAUCGUAGGUGAAGCCGUCGUUGGUGUAGGAGGCGGAGGCUGGGAUGAGGAAGAUGAGGCAGAGUAAUAGGUAGCGAGGCAGCAUGGUGGAGGCGCCUUUCUCUCAGGGAUGGCCGGGUGGGUUAUGAAAUAUGAAUAAUCAAGGCAAGUGCCAAAGAAAUUAAGAACAAAUAGUACCAGAGUCUAUUACACGUUUGGUUUUCGGUCAAUAUGGUGGGUCCUACCGGAGAAAAGUGAGGCCAUUUGAUUGGUACACAACUACACGUCCAACACAUCAAGAGGGACAAUGUACAUUGUUGACCGACUUUUCCACUAAAACACAAGGGGAAGAGUGUUACUUUCUGGAAUGAAUCAACCCGCAUUUUGCUUGUCUCAAUGCACCAAACUGAAAGAACUCCACUUCGUUUCCAGAGAUAGCUCAGUGUGUUUACUUAUUUUGGUCCGGAACACGGAAAUAAUUGCUUUUCCUGAAGAAAAAGAAAGCCUUCGGCACAUGAUCAACCGGGGCAAAAUAAACAUAUUCUUCAAGACCCGUAAAAAAUUAUACAACAGAGACACAGGUUUGCCAUAGAAUUCCAACUAAACACUAUGGUGCAGUAGGAUAUGAUGUGCCCUUAAUCUUGGGAUCAGGGCACCAAAUAAGUUGACUAGUCGAAUCUCUGGCUCUGGCUGGAGAAAUGGAGAAGAUAUGUUUUCACACGCCGCCAGCUUAGCAGAUGAACCAGCAAACUGCACAUCUGUUCGUUUUUUCUACUCUUAACUUCCUGUAUACACGGUACAAACAAUUUGUUCGCUGUCAGUCAUUAUAUACAUCUCUGGUUGUGUUGCUUCUCUGCAUGUCCCCUGCUCUUGAUGUCCUGAGCCGUGGCGCUUCCGUUGGCCGCCACCAACACCUCUGCUGAGACGCGGGACAGACUGCACCGUCCGACCAUCGCCUUCUGCCUAACUUGGUUAAAUCGCAAAGUUCAGUUUGUCAAUUUUGGUAAGGCAACUCCACUUAAUUCGAAUUUUGUUAUUCGGUGUGCCAAAAUUUGUUGAAUGUGCAGUUUUGAAGGGACUUGAUCAGAUUAAUUUUUCCCUGGGCCGGAACUGAAUCUGGAAUCUGAAGCCAUGUUACCUCAAAUAUGAAGCCUUUAACCUUACUAGCAAAAGGGCCCGUGCGUUGCAACGGGAAAAAUAAAUUUCCGGAAAAAAUUAAUUUUCCACGCUCUUAAUUUAUAAAAGUUCAAAAUUUAUAAUCCAAAAUAAAACAAUUCGAAUUUAGUAAAAUUGCACCAAUCUGUCAUUAAUUUUACAAAUCUAUGAUUAAUUAAGUACAGCAGCACAGUACAACUCCUGCAAUGCAGUGCUAGCUAGCGACAUUCCAAGCUCACCGUCAUCCAUGGCUCUCCAGCUCCUCCCCUCUCCGUCCCCAAGAAGGUAAUUAACACAAGCAAGAUCAUCUUCAACAUCGAUGUACAUUGUUGCUGCAUCUGUGGUGACAUUCAUGUUUUUGUAAUGGAUGCAGGGCAGCAGCAUGGGCGCUGUGGCGGUGAAGGACACGGCGGCGUUCCUAGGCGUGAGCAGCAAGGCGAAGAAGGCGUCGCUGGCGGUGAGGACGCAGGUGGCCACGGCGUCGUCCCCGGUGACGACGAGCCCGGGCUCGACCGCAUCAUCGCCAAGCGGCAAGAAGACGCUGCGGCAGGGCGUGGUGGUGAUCACGGGCGCGUCCUCCGGGCUGGGCCUGGCGGCGGCCAAGGCGUUGGCCGAGACGGGCAAGUGGCACGUCGUCAUGGCGUGCCGCGACUUCCUCAAGGCCUCCAAGGCGGCCAAGGCGGCGGGCAUGGCGGACACCAGCUACACCGUCAUGCACCUCGACCUCGCCUCCCUCGACAUGGAAUGUUCGUCUGACGCUCUGCUCCUNNNNNNNNNNNNNNNNNNNNNNNNNNNNNNNNNNNNNNNNNNNNNNNNNNNNNNNNNNNNNNNNNNNNNNNNNNNNNNNNNNNNNNNNNNNNNNNNNNNNGGGGGGUGGCGGCGCACAGGGAGGGGGAGGGAGUAGCGAGGGGAGGAGGCGGCGGCUCCGAGGGGGAUUAGGGUUGCGGGAUGGAGGUGGGGGCCGGCUGGGCCUUGAGCCCAGUUGGGCCAGGGGGGGUGGGUUGCUUUCCCUUUUUUUUGAUUUGUUUUUAUUUUGUUUUACCUUUUCCCUUUUCUUUUUAUUAAUCCUUUCUUUCAGUUUUCUUUUCUUUCUUUUAUCAUUAUUAUUUCUUUAAUACUUUCCCCUUUUUUUUUACAUAUAUAUUCUUUUAAUAUUUGCAAUGAACUCAUAACGUACUCUACUUUUGUUUUUCAAAUUUGAAAUCCGGACAAACUCGAAUCAACGCGGGUCUGAGAUGGAAAUCCGAUGACGUGGCAUCAUUAGCGGUUGAUCACUGUAGCUUAAUUACAAUUACUACUGUAGCAAAAGUCGAGGAUGUCACAGCCCCGAAGUAAUUCAUGAUACCUCGGAAGAAGGGAUGGGGAGGCAAGGAGAAACCUCUGGCCACAUGGCUGAGCAGCAGAACGCGCUCCCCCUCCUUCGGCGCCGGCUCCGUCUCGCCUUCCGGCAGCCUCCAGGACUUGUUGACGACCAUGCCAUGCUCCACCAGCUCCAGCACGUCGUUCUCCGUCACCGAGGAGGGGAGGAAAUCCCCCUGGAUCCAACCCGCCGGCAGCGCCCGCUGCCGCCGCUGAGUAGGGGCCGCCCCCUUCUUCUUCUUCUUCUGCGACUCGAUCUUGCUGGUCUGGCCGUUUGUCAUGGCGAGGGCGACGGAUCCGCAGAGGAGGCGGGGAAGGAGGUGGCUUGAGUUGUGCAGAGAGCUGCGGGAGGAGCGAGAUUAAUGAGAGGAGGAUGAGCAGCGCAACAGGAAAUCCCGCCGGGGAGGCUUAAAUAGGCUUCUGACUGGGCCACUAAAAGGUGGACCCAAGAUCUUAUCCCCCCAACCGGCCACUGCAAGAUUAGUGGAGAAGAUAAUGGUGCGGUAAUCGAGGAGGAAAAACCUACUCGAUGGCGAUGUCGUCAUCCCCGCUGAGCGCGCGACAACCGAAAUUUGAGGAUCCCGGAAAAUCCGGCGUUGUCAGUUGGACCAGUCACGUCGAAAGAUUCCGCGGAAGCACUCGGUCCCUGACGGUUCGUUUCACUGGUAUAUUCACUCGGAUCACUGGUUGAAAGGAUAAAAUGGAUCGAGGCAAACAACGCUAAAGUCACCUCCAUACCAGUCGGUUCCAUACUCCAGACAUCACUUCAUCGUUCCAAACCCGAUCCAUUCGGGGACUAAUGAUGGGGUUAUAGUCCGAGGGUAGGGUCAUAGGCCUGCCCUAUAGGUCCUAUCCAAGGACUACCCUUCAUAGAAGACAAGGCCCUUAGACAGUUCCGACUGAACUAAGGACGUCCCCAUCAUCCAGUCGACGACGAUCCACUCGGAGCAUAUUUAACGUACCGACUGGAAUCCACUCUAUACAUCGUAACCUCCCAGGAGGGCAACGGUCAUACGUUUUCAUUCACCAUUAUUAGCAUUUAAGGCUUACGUUACCUGUAACGUAGUCAUUUAUUCGCCACUAUUCCACCCUUGUUCACCGGGCCAUUAUGAAGGGCAACGCACUCUAUAUAAGCCGCCCUUCCCCACUGGUGCAAAGGUUGGCACUUGCUGUAAUCCUAUAAUCCACUCGACACAAAGCUCCCAAGAGCACUGAGACGUAGGGCUUUUACCUCCACCGUAGAGGGGCCUGAACUCAUACAUCCUCGCUGUAGCUAAGACUCUGCCCAUCCUUUCGUACCCCAUACAUCUACUGUCAGACUUAUACGCACGACAACAGUUGUGACUCUCGCAAAGGCAAAAGCAUGCCUAUCAUGGAAGCAAAACCAUGUCAUUCACGAAAAAACCCGCAUUUGUUUCGAUUCCAAAAGGCACGGGCGCGCCUUUCACUGAAGCAUAACCGUGCCUCUCGUAAAAAAAUAAAAAAAACACAUUUUUUCCAAGAGGCAUGGCUUUGCCGUUCGUGUAAACAAAAUCGUGCCUCUCAUAAAAAGAAUAAAAACGCGUCUUUUUGUCCCCGAGAGACACAGCCGUGCCUCUCGUAAAAUCAAAAAACAGUGACUGAAAACAAGUUUUUGUCCUUUUUCAAGAGGCACUGCCUAGCGUCUCGCAGGAAAAAAAACAAGUAUGAAAAAACUAAGAAACGUGACUCGCGUAAUUUUUAUUAUUUUUUCGAAAAGCUAAGAAAGACGUGUGAAAACCCGAAACGGCAGAAAAACCAAAAAAAUAAUCUAAAAAGCCAAAAAUGCAUGUGGAACACAAAAGGAAAAAUCCAAAAAAACGCUCAAAACGCGACACGUGAUGGCGGCUGAGAAUUGUUUUUUAAGAAACCAGCAAGAGCUCUGCUUUUGCAUUAAGAAAAAGAGAGUUGACCAGUUAUGGCGGCUGAGAAUUGCGGCCGUGCUUCUUGAAAACGAAAAAAAAACGCGUUUUCGGUCAAAUGGCAGUUCGUAGGAGCAAUCAUUGGAGGAGCAAUCGUUGGGAGGCUUCCGAAGAAGUGUCCCUAACUAGUUGGUCCUGAGAAUUGUUCUUGGGCUUAGUUAGCCGUUGGAUCCACUCAUUGUAGUACUGUCUAACCCAGGUCCCAUAUUACGUUUAAAAAGAAAAAAUGAAGAUCGUGCAAAACGUGUGCCUUCUAAAAUAAUCGCCAUUUUAUGGAACAAACACAAAAAAAUCACCCUACAUAGGUCUUUACCAAAAAAAAUGCUGGAAGCUGCAUAUUUUGACCCGCGACUGUCAUAUCUAAUAUAUUUGUCGCGUGACUUGACGGGAGGGAAACUUCAGCCCCCUUCUUUGCCCGGCCUCCUCCGCCACCUCCUUGAAUCACCCAACCGUUGAUGCCCAUAAUUUGGAAAUCUUGAACUAUUUUUAAAUCAUUUUGUUACAUGCUUCUCGUUAUUAUUUUUGUUUUAGACAGGGAACUUGUAUGUUUGAUUUUCAUCAGCCUUUGUUAUUUUUGUUAUUUUCCCGCGACAAAGCGUAGGGUGUCAUCUAGUUGGAGAAAAGGACGAUCCGUACACACACCGGCAUCCAUCUCUGACAACUCGUUACUCGUGGGCUAUACAUAUAAAGUUGGGCGCAAUUCUGUUUCAAAGUCCAUCUCGAUCUACUGAAACCGAACAGGGGUUGAGUAUUGUUUUUUUCAAUCGGUCCAAGCAAAAGAUAAAAAAAAUAUAGUCCUUCCUCUAUUUUAAAAUAAGUGUCUUUAACCUUUUUUUUUGUUGGGCAGUGUCUUUAACUUUUGUACUAACUUACAAAAGUUGGCCGGCUGGUCCCAAAGGAAACCCAGGUCUGAUUUGGUUUUGUUUGGUUUACGGUUUUGCACAUCUAUGGACAGCACGUACACUUGCGCGCCUGAGGUUCUCGGCCGGCCCUAGUAGCAUGCAAAUACAAGUAGGGCUAGCAAAUGAUAAUGUGCGCCCAGAGCAUCUGCGUCUCCUAAGCUUGACUUGUGGUCGAUCGUCCAUCUGAUUUGACCCAUCCAGUUGGCGCCGCGGCCGCUCGAAAGUGUGCAGGCACACAAGAAAUGACCUGCAAAAGGCACCUUCCGAAUACAUUUCCUUGCCUAUUACGUACGUACUGCACGGCUCUCACUCUAUAUAUAUAAGACUUGCCCAUCAUCAGCAUUCUUCACAUCAACCAACAAUCACUGUAACUAACCACAAGAAGAAGAAGAAGAAGAAGAAGAAAAAGCGAUGGCGUUCCGACGCCGUUCAUGCGUACUAGCAGCUCUUGUCGCCCUCUGCUUCCUCGCCGCCACGGCAGCCGCCGGCGACCACGGCCUGACGGUCUUCUGGGGCCGGAACAAGGACGAGGGCUCCCUGAGGGAGGCCUGCGACACCGGCAUCUACAGCACCGUCAUCAUCUCCUUCUACAGCGUCUUCGGCCACGGCAAGUACUGGGGCGACCUCUCCGGCCACCCGCUCUACGCCAUCGGGGCCGACAUCAAGCACUGCCGGGCCAAGGGCAUCGUCGUCCUCCUCUCCAUCGGCGGCGGCGGCACCCAGUACUCCCUGCCGUCCUCACAGUCCGCGGCCGACGUCNNNNNNNNNNNNNNNNNNNNNNNNNNNNNNNNNNNNNNNNNNNNNNNNNNNNNNNNNNNNNNNNNNNNNNNNNNNNNNNNNNNNNNNNNNNNNNNNNNNNGGGGGGCAACCCACCCCAGGGAAGCCCAUAGGCCUUGGGGGUGGCGCACCAGCCCUUAGUGGGCUGGUGGGACAGCCCAAGAAGGCCCUAUGCGCCAUAGGAAGAAAAUCAAAGAGAAAAAAAGAGGAGGUGGGAAAAGGGGGAAGGACUCCUCCUUCUAAACCUAGUUGGACUCGGUUUGGAAGGGGAGGGUUCCCCCCUUUGGCUUGGCCGAACCCCUUGUGGGUCCUUGGACCCCAAGGCAAGGCUCCCCCUCUUCCCCCUAUAUAUAUGGAGGUUUUAGGGCUGAUUUGACACAACUUUUGCCACGGCAGCCCGCCACAUACCUCCACGGUUUUACCUCUAGAUCGCGUUUCUGCGGAGCUCGGGCGGAGCCCUGCUGAGAUUAGAUCACCACCAACCUCCGGAGCGCCGUCACCCUACCGGAGAACUCAUCUACCUCUCCGUAUCUCUUGCUGGAUCAAGAAGGCCGAGAUCAUCGUCGAGCUGUACGUGUGCUGAACGCGGAGGUGCCGUCCGUUCGGCACUAGAUCGGAGCGGAUCGUGGGACGGAUCGCGGGACGGUUCGUGGGACGGUUCGCGGGGCGGAUCGAGGGACGUGAGGACGCUCCACUACAUCAACCGCAUUUCUUAACGCUUCUGCUGUGCGAUCUACAAGGGUACGUAGAUCGGAAAUCCCCUCUCGUAGAUGCACAUCACCAUGAUAGGUCUUCGUGCGCGUAGGAAAUUUUUUGUUUCCCNNNNNNNNNNACAAGGGAGUACCUUGCUCUGAUACCAAUUGAAAGUGCGUUAUAUCGACUAGAGGGAGGGUGAAUAGGAGAUUUUCACAAUUUCAUCACCGAGGAAAUUCCUCACUAAUGACUAACUUACAGCGGAAACAGUAAAGGAUCAGAAGUGCAAAGUUUCACAACAACAGUUUUUUAGUGUGAGGAAUGUGAAAACAGAUUGCACAGUGAGCAGGCACGCAGAAAAUAUAUGAGGAUUAACUAGCGUGAAGAAUUUGGGGUUGAGGAAUUUCAGAGAAAGUCUUCAGCAAAUUCUUCAAACAGUAAUAGUGAAAGUCAUCAACACAUAAUUUGAGGAAAGUAAGGAGUUGAGGAAUUAGAACCCGUUUCCCAGCGAAGACAGUAGUUGAUGACCNNNNNNNNNNGACAGUCGUACAUCUGGUUUGGAGUGGCUUGGUAUUGAAACCAAAGGACACACAGUACCGGGACACACAGUCCCUACCGUGUUCUCCUUGGGCUAAGAACACACAGUCCUCGCCCAACACUAGUGGUAAGUCUUCAGGGCAGACUUCCAAACCCUCACAAACUUGGUUACCCGGCGAUCCACAAUUGACUGCUGGAUUGCUCUAGACCAUGACGCCUAACCAUCUGGAGGAUGCACAGUCCUCAAAGGUAAAAGGCUUCAGUCCCACACANNNNNNNNNNNNNNNNNNNNNNNNNNNNNNNNNNNNNNNNNNNNNNNNNNNNNNNNNNNNNNNNNNNNNNNNNNNNNNNNNNNNNNNNNNNNNNNNNNNNUUUGGGAACGUAGCAACGACCGAGUGAGUGACACAUCACCACGCACCAAAUGAGAAAGAAAUUGACCCGAGUAAAGAGCCCAACGGUGAAAACUUGCGGGCCCGGACGACGAUCUAGGAAAUUCACUGGAUAUGGGCUAUAGCAUUGGGGCAAUAAUUAAUUUUUUUACUUCUUUGAAGAAAAUAUUAAUUUCUUGACUUGGAAUUUCGGCAAUGUUGAAAUACCCAUUUUAGAGAGGCGACCCUGAAAUAUGGGGAAUAUACUCGUCUCUUGCUCGAUACCUUCGACUUUACCGUGUCGCGAUUUAACCGGCAAUAACUUUUUAUGGUAUUACUUACGCCUUUUUUGUUAAUAUGUUUGCUCAUCACUUUAGAUGACUUCCUCGUUUGGUUUGUUCACACAAUGAAAGGCAUGCAAUGCGCCUUUACUUUUUUUGUAACUUUUUCUUUGAAUAAUUUUCUUUUCUCUCCUCCCUUUCCCGGACCACAUUUUAGACCUGGUUUGUUCACACAAUGAAAGGCAUGCAAUGCACACUUUUCUAUUUCUCUUUCUUUUCUCUCCUCCCCUUCCCUGGUCACAUUUUAGAUUUGGUUUGUUCGCACAAUUAAAGGCAUGCAAUGCACAUUUACCUUUUUUCUAUUUUUCUUAAUACUUUUGUUUUCUCUCCUCCCCUUCCCCCACCACAUUAUAGACUACCGUCCAACAACACAUAGUGGAGCUCGGGCUAGUGACCUCCAUCCAUCCGGUUCAUGGGCGAGUUCGAUGAGGUAUUGUGUGUGGCGAUGAAUCUCGAACCAUUGCACCCCUCACAUUCCCACUCGAGGAGCAACACGGGAGUCAAGCUGAUGCAACCACCUCCAAGCAUAAACCACAUUGUUGACUUGCAAUCUUGGCGCAUCGGAACCAUACCACACGAUGAGCUCCGAGUUUCAAAGAGGCAUAAAGAAGGAGAGCGGUGGUGUGAUGUGAGAGAGGGAUAGGUGGAGCAAGAGAAAAAGGGAAGUUCACCACGUGAGGUACGAUUUUAUCUCGUCGAAGGUAGGAUAUUAUUCUCCUACAUACCCGUGCAUAGAUAGUUGUCUUGGUAAUGUAUAUUGGAUAUGCGACGUAAAUAUGAAUAUGAAUAGUAUGCAAUAUAAAAUUAGCUCUCAUAUUAUAUAUUGACUAAAAUUAAAUUUAAACCUUCCCGAGUCAAGUCCAUACCGUGAAACCCUAGGAGCUAGGGCGGUGGCACCGAUUACCUCCUUCCGAUGAAAUAAUGGGUCCCCUGUCCCUCCUUUUGUUGCUUCAGCGACAGGAGGGGGCUGGGUAGGGUAAUACUUUUUGUUUAGAGUUUCAUCCCCAGUUGAGGUGGUAAGGCGAUGGUGUUGCUAUUGGUAUGUAUUAAAUCCUCCCCGCUUUGCCUCGUUCUGAUGAUGCUUCUUGUCAUUGUUGUAAGGCGUAUGGUGGGUCCCUAGAUUCCAUUCUAUAGGUUGUUAUUUUUCUUGUGUAGUUUUUCCUUGUUGUCCCUAUCCCGCAGAGCGGUUGGCGUGACUUUGCAUCUUAGUCCUUCGACUUCAGUUUUGAUCGAAGAAUGUUUUUCUUUCUCUCUCUUUGUCUUCAUCUAUCACGUGCAAGUGACCAGACAUAUGAGGAAGGGAAUGAGGAUUAUGGCUGCACGGAUGGAUAAAUAGGGGACAUGCUCGGUCACUGACUGGACGCGUCCACAUACGUUUAGGGGGUCAUAUUUUCUAUGUUCGAUUUUAGAUGAUGUUAGGCGACAUUAAACUUUGCUCAUGACGCUUUAUCAAUGGAAGCAUGAGGAAAAAGACUUUGACACCCCGAAGAAUUUGAAGGAAGCAGACUUCGACACCUCCAGGUAUUUAAAAGCAUUUUUCAAUUUUAUUGUAAGUGUUCUUUUAUAUUGCUUGUGCUACUUAAUAUAUGGGCUUUGGCCAUUUUCCCAAAAAAAUAUGGGUAAAAUAAAAGAUAUGUAGGUUGAUACCUCAUUCCAUUUCAGAUUCAAGAAUUAGGAAGGCAUUAAACGGGGGAUUGUAUGAUUUACGCCAUUUUAUAAGGAGUUAGUUGAUUUACCCCCAGAUUAUUAAAUGUAGAAGUAAAAUGUGGCUUAUGAUCCAAUUUCUGGGCAUCUAACAGGAACAAUCAAAUGCACGUGUGAUGGAAAGAAAAGAAGAAGAAGAAAAAGGUCUCGGUCAUGCUUCUACUCCCUUCGUUCUUAAAUAUAAGUUUUUCUAAAAGUUUCACUAAGGAACUAUAUACAAAAAUAUAUAUAAACAUAUUUUAAAAUAUAAAUUAACUCAUUUUUAAUCCGUAUGUAGUUAUUUGGUGAAUUUUUUUAAAAAACUUAUAUUUAGGAACAUAAGGGUAUGUGGCAUGCACGACAGGAGUUAAACGAAGGCGCUGACUUUUAACGCCCUGCAUGCCGUGGUUUACGUCAGUCGGUGCAUGUGGACGCGCCAAGUGGCCGGCGGUCCGGUCGCUAUCCAUGCGCGUCCGGGUCCGGCGGCGUGAAGCACGGGACUGUAGCCGAAAGCUGGAAGCCUAGCGCUGUACGCACCGUUGGUCAGCCACGCGCCGCCGGUACGGUUCCGGCAGGUGGCUCAUCCGUCUAGCCCCGGCGAUCUGAUGCACUGCACCGCGUAUGGGCCGGCCAGCUAGCUGGGUCCUCUCCUCCUGCGUGCGUGUAUGAGCAAGUAGCAUUGCUGUUCCUGAUGCAUUUGACACAUGAUUUUUCGCACCAGAUAAACACAGCUAGCACGGCAUCGAUCAAUCUAGCGGGGGCCGUACCCCGGCCGUACGUACACGCUGCUGUCGCCAUUGCCAUGCCGCGGCGCGUGACGAGAACGGCGGACCGCGCGCGACGUAGUGGAGGGGAAGCGGACGUUGCUCGCUCGGCCCCCUCGACCCAACUCAACCCCAACCAUCUCGCUCUCAUAACACCCUAGGGCAGCACGCACCUGACAAGCAUGGGACGCCGGCACGGCACGAAUGGAGUUCUCCUCCCCUUGCUCUCCAUCGCAGCCUACCAUAUACCUUUCCCUCCCCUCCGGAGGCAAAUGGAACAAAGACCAACUGAUUAAGAGCAUCUCUAACACAUCCAGUGUAAAAUCACGAUCCGUAAAAUAACCAUCAAAAUAUGGGUCGACGUAAAAAAUGUUGCUUGAUUAGACUCCGCAAACGCGUUCGAUUCGUAAUUUUUUUAAGGGGCACGGUAAAACCCCCUCCCAGAUCCACGAAAACACAGGUUUCCGCUUCGUCCAUACGGUGCCCCGUAUCCCAGGAAAGUGGCUGACGGGAGUGACAUUUCAGCCCGCGUCCUUUCUCCCCCACCUCCCGCCGCCGUCCGUCAUUGGUUCCGACCAUCCGCCGCCGGCGAUUCCGACCAAAUCUACGGCUGGAAUCGCAUCAUGGGGGCGCCCCUGCCCUCUUCCGCCGAGCCGCUGGGCUGAUCGGCACCCCUCAUAUCCAGUCCAAAUAUGAGGAGGAUAUGGUGCCCCGGCAUGCCCGCCUGACUGCCGGGCCCACCAUCGCCCCCACCGACACGUCAGCCCGGCGCACCACGGACCCCACUAAAUACCUGAAUCGGGAAAAUCCUAGACAUCCGGCAGUUUACUCAUUGUCCAAUCUACUUCCCCUCACCACACUCUGAUUCGAUGACAGGUGGCGGAAGCAGCUCCGAUGGGUCAAACGUCGAUGUGGAGGAGGUCCUCCGCAUCGUGUUGUGCCAGUCGCGGCAAGACCAAGGCGGCCCCGACGGCGGUGGAUGUGCGUCCUUUGGGCCCGUCGCAUGGCAACGGAGCGUCGACGGCGGUGGAUCUGCAUCCUCCGGGCCCGUUGCACACCGACGGAGCACCGACGACGUCGCAGGCCCUUCUGGCGAGGCACGCAGCUCCGGUCGCUCCCGCUCCGGGAGGUCCGCUCCACGUCAGGUACGCCACCCACCUCCACCACCUUCUGCUUCGAAAGUGGUGCCCGGCCACCGCUGGGUCCUCGUGCCCGCGUCAGGGAUGGGGCGCACGAGGACGCCGGAAUCCAAUGCGCGUGUAUCCCAUCGCGAGCGGCAGCGGGCUAGCGAGAGGGAGAGGCGCUGCCUGCGCGCGUUCGACCUCGAGCACGCUGGUCGACCCCGAGGAGGCACUCCUGGUGGGCGUCCUUUGUCGAUCGCUGACGAGGACAGAGAUGGAUGCGCGUCGCCUCCGCCACAAGAAUGCAGAGGCGGUACAACUGGCCAUCCAGUUAUCGGAGCGCGAGGCAACGAAAGAGGCGGCAACAAAUGCGAAAGCAACCCCACCACGCGAAGGAGCAGGACCACCUACUCCGCAGGCUGUCCGGCAUGCGGUGCAGCUCCAACGAGGCUGACAACGAUGUCUCCAUCACGUCCGGCUCCGAUGAUGACGACGACGACGCUUCACCACACGCUGACGCCUACACGGAGGACGGGCAUAGUGGCGUGGACGACCAGAAAGGGAAGGGGACGGCGAGAAAAUGGUGAUUUCCUCCGCCCGUCCCCGUUUUCUUCAUAUUUUAAGUAGUUUGUAGUAUGAAUUUGUCAAUGCACUCCGAUAAACUUUGAUUCUUUUGUUCGGUGAUGCAAUCCGAUCCGAUGAAAGAUGUUGAUCUCUUGUUUUACGUAGUGUUACAUGCGUUUUUAUGAAUAUGAGGAAUUCGAAUAUGAAAGGAAAAAAGUUGAACGUCCGAUCAGUGUCCGCGGACUCGUCUGCGGGCAUUUGAGAGGUUGUAUUUAAAGGGUCAGCUUAGAUGCUCUUAGGCAGAUCGACACGCCGAUGCUGAUCCACCAGCAUAGCAUAGUCAACGACUCGUCGAUCCCCUGUGUCAGCCGGUCCAGAGGAUCAAAGAAAGCUUGCACAUCGGCACAUGCGUACUUCAGUACUUGCAUGCCACGCCUUUUAUCAUUGGACAAAUUACAUUGUCAGUCAGGCCAAUUGUAACAAGCAAAAGGAAGAGAAAACAGUAGACCAAAUCGAAGCAAAGAACACAGGAAUUCUUUUCGGUUUCAGUCGACAGAGAUGGAUGUUUGGAUCGUCGUUCCCUUUCAGCUCCGUCUCCUUUUGGCUUUUGCCAACUCUUUUCUUCUUCGUUCGUUCAUACUACCACUCGGAGUUCAUCGGUGAGUGAGUCAGUGAGUGACCCGUCACCGGAAAAUGCGGCAUGAUAAUUNNNNNNNNNNNNNNNNNNNNNNNNNNNNNNNNNNNNNNNNNNNNNNNNNNNNNNNNNNNNNNNNNNNNNNNNNNNNNNNNNNNNNNNNNNNNNNNNNNNNGAGGAAUUCGGUGUGUCCUGAAGAAAAUCAUCUUGAAGACUUUGCAACAUGAAGAUUUACUCUUUCUAUUUUAUUUUCUUCACACUUGAGUAAUAGGAACACCGUACUGUUAAAGGGGGUGGAAGUUACACUUUGGAAUGAAUUUCCUCAUGAUGCUCAACCCAAGCCUNNNNNNNNNNGAGGGUUCCGACCGUUUCGAUAGCCACGCCAAGUCAUUGGUCUUAUCCACACCAACGGUCAUAUUAUUUAAGGGCAUUAGUGUCAAAUCAUGUCGGGAUGCUCUCAGGCUAUAAAUAGCCGCCCCCCACAACCAUUAGCUGGUCGGCUGCUCCGUUAGGAACUGACACCUGUCAUAAGAGCAACCCAAUUCCUCAGAGUCUUCGAGAGUAAUUCAUCAGUGAGGAAAUACCCCAGACACCGAAACCACAAACCUAGAACCAAGUGAUUGAGCAUCACUGAAGAAGUUGUNNNNNNNNNNUAGGGUUCCGACUAUUUCGAUAGCCACGCCAAGUCAUUGAUCUUAUCCACACCAACGGUCAUAUUAUUUAAGGGCAUUAGUGUCAAAUNNNNNNNNNNCCAGGCAAUAAAUAGCCGCCCCCCACAACCAUUAGCUGCUCGGCUGCUCCGUUAGGAACUAACACCUGUCAUAAGAGCAACCCAAUUCCUCAGAGUCUUCAAGGGUAAUUCAUCAGUGAGGAAAUACCCCAUACACCAAAACCACAAACCUAGAACCAAGUGAUUGAGCAUCACUGAAGAAGUUGUUCCUGUGUGGGACUGAAGCCUUUUACCUUUGAGGACUGUGCAUCCUCCAGACGGUUAGGCGUCAUGGUCUAGAGCAAUCCAGCAGUCAAUUGUGGAUCGUCGCGUGACCAAGUUUGUGAGGGUUUGGAAGUCUGCCCUGAAGACUUACCACUAGUGUUGGGCAAGGACUAUGUGUUCUUAGCCCAAGGAGAACACGGUAGGGACUGUGUGUCUCGUGAAUUUGUGUCCUUUGGUUUCAAUACCAAGCCGUUCCAAACCAGAUGUACGACAUUAACAGCAGUUGGAACUGGGUCAUCAACUACUGUCUUCGCUGGGAAACGGGUUCUAAUUCCUCAACACCUUACUUUCCUCAGAUUAUAUGUUGAUGACUUUCACUGUUACUGUUUGAAGAAUUUGCUGAAGACUUUCUCUGAAAUUCCUCAACCCCAAAUUCUUCACGCUAGUUAAUCCUCAUCUGUUUUCUGCGUGCCUGCUCACUGUGCAAUCUGUUUUCACAUGCCUCACACUGAAAAACUGUUGUUGUGAAACUUUGCACUUCUGAUCCUUUACUGUUUCCNNNNNNNNNNNNNNNNNNNNNNNNNNNNNNNNNNNNNNNNNNNNNNNNNNNNNNNNNNNNNNNNNNNNNNNNNNNNNNNNNNNNNNNNNNNNNNNNNNNNAUGAUCUCAUGGUCAUAGGAACAAAUACUUGACACGCAGAAAACAGUAGCAACAAAAUGACACGAUCAACAUGCUACGUCUAUUAGUUUGGGUCUAAUCCAUCACGUGAUUCUCCCAAUGACGUGAUCCAGUUAUCAAGCAACAACACCUUGUUCAUAAUCAGAAGACACUGACUAUCAUCGAUCAACUGGCUAGCCAACUAGAGGCAUGCUAGGGACGGUGUUUUGUCUAUGUAUCCACACAUGUAAAUGAGUCUUCAUUCAAUACAAUUAUAGCAUGGAUAAUAAACUAUUAUCUUGAUACAGGAAUUAUAAUAAUAACUAUACAUUUAUUAUUGCCUCUAGGGCAUAAUUCCAACAAUCUAUGCCGGCGGCCAGACGUCUAGCCAUCGGCAUGCAUAGAUUCGACGGCGUUAGCCCCGUCGCGUGGGGGGGGGGGGNNNNNNNNNNNNNNNNNNNNNNNNNNNNNNNNNNNNNNNNNNNNNNNNNNNNNNNNNNNNNNNNNNNNNNNNNNNNNNNNNNNNNNNNNNNNNNNNNNNNNNNNNNNNNNNNNNNNNNNNNNNNNNNNNNNUGCCGACGAUGGCCGUAGGCGUACUAUUCUGUAGGCCGACGGCGUAGAUGUAGAUAUGCCUACAGCUUUUGUGUGCCGAGGGCUUUUAGCAAGCCGUCGGCAUAGCUACAACUAUGCCGACGGCCCCGAUAAAAAGCCUCGGUAUAGAAUAAGCUGUAGACAUAGUAGGUUAUUCUGGUAGUUACUUAUACAUAUGUCUAGGAAAAAAAAUAGAAAUAGGGAAGAUAUACCUAGGGCAUGAUUAAUUAGGGGGAAAAGGAAAUGUGGAUGUGACAAAUCACUCCUCCGGUAAUACAGUUAAUUAUUUGAUUGAAGCAUCUUUGAAGAAUGAACUUCUCGUCAGUCCGGCCUGUCGUAUACCCACAAAACAAAAACGUCGUGAUCGAUUUCCCGUAAAAGUCGUCUCCUUUGGGAUUCAAAAAUCAGGGUUAGGCGCCUUAAUUAAGACCAUGCAUAUGCAAAGGAUUAAAUGAAAGGUCAAAUCUCAAGACCAGACGUUCAUCCAAUAUUAGCGCUUCUUCUAGCUAGGCUAGGGCCAUCGAUCUCCAUACACAGCUGUACGUACGCGCGCGCCAUGGUGACAUUCACGGCGUGCCGGAGCAAGCCGGAGCUGGUGUUGCCCGCGCGGGCGACGCCACGCGAGGUGAGGUCGCUGUCCGACGUCGACCGCCAGCCAAUACUACGAUCAUACACGACUGUCAUCGAAUUCUUCCGGUGCCUCGUCCCCGGAGGGGCGCCGGCGCAGCCGGCAAGUGCCCUCAAGGCCGGCCUGGCGGAGGCGCUGGUGCACUACUACCCCGUCGCCGGUCGCCUGCGGGAGCUCCCAGUCCCGCACGGGAAGAAGCUGGUGGUGGACUGCACGGCGGAGGGCGUGGUGUUCGUGGAGGCGCACGCCAACGUGCGGUUGGAGGAGUUCGCCAUGCCGCUGGUGCCACCGUACCCCUGCGUCGACGAGCUCGUGUGCGACGUGGGCGACGCUGGAGCUAUCGUCGGCAAGCCCUUGCUCUACUUGCAGGUAUUCGUCCGAGUUCAUCUUCUAGGAGUACAUGCGUACGUGCAUGCAUAUGCAUGAUUGCAGAUGAUGAACAGACAAUUCAUUUCUUGGAGAUGUAGAUGACGCAGCUUCGAUGCGGAGGCAUCGUCCUGGCGUUGACAAUGUGCCACAGCGUCGUGGAUGCCUUCGGUUUGGUCCAGAUCUUCAGAUGCAUCCUUGACCUUGCACGGGGUGAAGCACAGCCCGCCGUAUUGCCUUCGUGGGAGAGGCACCUUCUCACAUCUUCCUUCUCACCGGAGGCUGCCGCCAUGGCUGAGGAGGCAGCCCACGACGACUCCUCCGAGGCGCAGACAUCAUCAACGCCGGCACCACCACCACUGCCACUCGAUGAGGAAGAAAUGGUGACCCGAUCAUUCCUAUUCGGCCCAAGGGAGGUAGCCGUUCUAAGGAGCGGCGUGCCAGCGCGCCUCGGCCGAUCCUCCACCGUGUUCGAGCUCAUCACGGCGGCCGUGUGGCGGUGCCGGGCGGCAGCGCUGGAGCACGCGUCCCAUGACCGGGUAAGCGUCUGGUUCCUCUCAAACGCCCGCGGGAGCUGGAAGCGCGACCCGCCGCUCCCGACAGGGUUCUACGGCAACGCGCCCUUCAUCGCGAGGGCGGAGGCCGCCGCCGGCGAGCUGUGCGACGGUGGUCUCGCGCGCGCGGUCGAGCUCGUCCACGAGGCCAAGCUCCGCGUGACGGACGAACACGUGCGGUCGGUGCUGGACCUCAUGGCAAGGGGCGAGUACCGCGUGGAUCCGGACCUGGACCAGACGUUCCUGGUGUCGGACAUAACCCGCUGCGGGGACGACUCGCUGAACCUAGGUUGCUGGGCGGAGCGCGUCGGCGGCGGUGCGCCGGGCCUGGGUCCCGGCCAUGGCUUUGCCAGGAGCCCUCCGAGUUUUUUUAUGAGCUGUAAGGACGCCAAUGGCGACGUCUGUGUCGUGGUGCCCAUGUGCUUGCCGGAGACGGCGAUGGCGAGGUUCGCGUCUCAGAUCGCCGCCUUGACAAACGUUCCCAUCGCGAGGAGCUCGAUGUAGCUAGGUAGACAUGCAUCUUCCUUCUACGACGGCAAAACGGAGUCUCUUUUAGUUUUGGUAUUUGCCUGUCUGCAGUCUGAUCGAAGGAGCGUUGGUAUCUUGUUUCCAAAUAUCACGUAGUGAUGUUUCGUCGGGUUCUUAUGUAAACAAAUACUUCCUCCGUUCUUUUAUAUAAGGUGUUUUUGCUUUUUUGAUGAAAUUUCGCAAUUUAAGGUUCAUUUCUUGUAAUUCUUCGUAACUCCGUCGUUAGGCCUUAAAAAAAGUAUAUCUUCUCUGAUUGCAUGUAUCCUUCUUUGUAGUGAGAAAAUAAUAAAGAAAAGUAUAUCUUUUUCGGUUGCAUGUAUCUCUUACUUUCCAAACCUAAAUAAUUUAUUUAACGCUAGUAAAUAAUUUAGCCAAGAUUAAUUUUCUCCUAACAUGUGUUUAAUUAAGUGCCUUGAUCAUCGUGCCAAAAACAAUACAUCUUACAUAAAUAAAUGAAGGAAAUAUAUACUCCCUCUGUCCCAAAAUAAGCGUCUCAACUUUGUAUCAAUUUUAGUACAAAGUUAUAAUAAGGUUAAGACACUUAUUUUGAGACGGAGGGAGUACGUUUCAGGUCAUUACUUUAAUGAUCUAAAACGACGUAUAUCUAUUUACAGUUUUGUCUUCAUUCAAAAAGCGUAUUGUAAUUUUUCAUGCUAUAUCCUACAAAAGGGGCGUACAAAUAUCUUGUUCGAUGAAUAGGAUUUGAUUGGAUUUAUAGGUAUGCGGACCUUGUGAUACAAGUAACAACCAUCCAUAUUGUUUGGAAUAACAAAGCACCAUAUAUCGGUGAGUACAAUUGGGGGUCCAACAACUUGGAUAUGAAGCCGCUAGGUUUCGAGGUGCCCGAUCUAGACAAAUGUCUUAAAUCUAAUUUACCAUCUUUGUCGUUGAAGUAGAAGUUGUCCCCCCCCCCCCCCCCCAAAAAAANNNNNNNNNNNNNNNNNNNNNNNNNNNNNNNNNNNNNNNNNNNNNNNNNNNNNNNNNNNNNNNNNNNNNNNNNNNNNNNNNNNNNNNNNNNNNNNNNNNNNNNNNNNNNNNNNNNNNNNNNNNNNNUGGGUGGGUUUAGUCCAUUUGAACGACCCGAAAUCCUCUUCAGCUAGAGGUCCCACGUAUUCCCUUUUGGGAGCCCGGGGUACCCAUUUGCUACUCUUUGGAAGUUUAUAUAUCAAAUGAUCACAUUCACAUACUUGUCAACUUUGUGUAAUGCAAAUGUUGUUAUUUAGCUCAAACAAAAAGUCAGGCCGUCAUGUCAUAUCAUAUAUCAAAGUGGAGGGGGGGGGGGGGGNNNNNNNNNNNNNNNNNNNNNNNNNNNNNNNNNNNNNNNNNNNNNNNNNNNNNNNNNNNNNNNNNNNNNNNNNNNNNNNNNNNNNNNNNNNNNNNNNNNNNNNNNNNNNNNNNNNNNNNNNNNNNNNNNAAAAAAUGUGGAGAUCUUACAUUAUAUUUAGACGUUAAGCCUCUCAAAUAAUCAUAUAUAUUGCGUUCCACGGCCAACGGAUUUGGAGUGAGAGUAACAUAGCUAGUACUAGCUCCAUUCGGGUUUUCAGGCGUCCUGGGCACCACAUGUCUGUACCAUAUUUACAAUGCCGCUACUCGAUUUGGAGAAAGAGCGGGUAAUCAUGUGAUGCAUGCAACCGAGAGAGAGCGAAUAAUCAAAGGAGAGAGAAAGCACUACUUCUAUUCCCUCCGUUUUUAAAUAUAAAUCUUUUUAAAGAUUUUAUUAUGGACUACAUACAAAACAAAAUAAGUGUAUCUAUACUCUAAAAUAUAUUUAUAUACAUUUGUGUAUAGUUUAUAGUUUUUUUUAAAAGACUUAUAUUUAGAAACGAAAGGAGUAUGCUGCAUGGGAAAACCAAGCGUUCUCAUGCAUACGGUAACUACACGCGAAGGUCAUUGGCUUCUCGCUCUGCUAGAAUAUCUCAGUUCACUUACAUGAGAUCACAAUCAUGAUUUAUUGGUUCCUUGCAAUGAUAGGUAGAAAAAUUGGUGAGUUGACACUCUAUUAAAUAUGGAAAAAAGGGAAGUUGUACUACCUCAAUCCUGUUUUAUUGGUUCCCUGCAUAUUUUAUGACAUAUUUUAUUUUUUUUCUGUAAAUUAAGUGUGGCUUGUAAAAUUUUAGCCCAGCAGUUUGGCCUUUUCUCCUGAGAUGCAGUCCAUCGGAUGUAGUUUUUCACUUUCAUUUUUAUCUUGUAAAUAUGUUAUGAACUCUCUCCUAUUCUCCGUUUUAAUGAAAUGGGCGAUGCUCCUGCUUUUCAUGUCAAAACAAUAAAAUUAAUCACGAUUUCUCUAUCGAAAUGUUGCACUAUUUGUAGCCGUUUUGGGGUCUCUAUUUUCUUCUCUUGGUACUUCGGGAUUAGAGUUCUAUAAAAUCCAAUUCAGUUCAGAACUCUAUUUUCUUCCGUUGGUACUCAAGGCAAAGCAAUCCAAUGAAAAAUUUGUAUUGCUUUACUAUCGAAAUCACUAAUUGAGAAGUAUUCCUUUCAAAGAUGACUCCUACCUUUUCAGGUCGUGACAAGUGGGCAUGUGUGCCACUUGUUGCAACCUGAGAGUUUUCUCUUUUUUUAUAGAUCCGUAUUUUCAAAAUGUUUUAUCUCUUAAGCCAUGCGUCGAAAUCUUAAACCGUUUUCACUGUUGGGUUUCUCGCAUCGAGAUCUUCAAACUAGAUCACAUGUUCAUAGGUUUUGACGAACUUUUUUUUCAAUAUAAAAUCAGACAGAAAAACUGUGUCUCUCGCGAUAGAAAAAAAAUAAAAAAGGAGUUUUUCCGUGUUUCCGAGAGACACGGCCAUACUUCUUAUGAAGGCAAAAUCGUGCCUCUCGCGGAAGCAAAACCGUGCCUCCCAUGAAAAAAUAUCCAUUUCCCGGAGGCACAGCCGUGCCUCUCGCGAAAGCAAAACCGUGCCUCUCGGGGAAACAAAACCGUGCAUCUCACAAAAAACAAAUAGAAAACACAAUUUUUUUCCGUUUCUGAGAGGCACUCGUAAAAGCAAAACCAUGUCUCUCGCAAAAAAGCUGAAACACAUUUUUUCCGUUUCCGAGAAGCAAAACCAUGUGUGAUGCGAAAGUGGAACCGUGCCUCUCGCGAAAGCGAAACUAUGCCUCUCGUGAAAAUAAGGAAAAUGCAUUUUUUGACGCAAAUUUUAUUUUUUGGAAUUUUUUUUGUCGAAAAGCUAAGAAAGACAGGUGAAAAACCAACACACACAAAAAAGGAAAAAAAUCAAUUAAAAAGAUGAAAAGACGUGCAGAAAAAAUAAAAUAAAAAUCGAAGAAACGCUCAGAACCUGACAUGUGGCGAUGGCUGAGAACGCGACAAAUGGCAGCGAAAUGGCAGGGCAUGCGAGUGAUCGUUGGGGCUCCCGAUGAAGUGCUCCCUAACUAGUUUACUCUCCUUUAUUGUGAUAUGUGAUCUGCGGUCUCUGAAUGGCUGCAAUAGUAGCAUACUCUGUUAACACAGAUUUUGAGUCUUGCUUAGGUACAACCUUAAACGUAACAAGGGUAUUAUGAAACUUCCAUCAAUCAUACGUAUAUACGCAGUGCUGACCACUCUCAUUGGGAUUCAAAGUACAGACGUCCAAGUCAGCGAUGAGCGCACCUUACCAGUCGGGCUAACAAGCCUUAGUGAAGAUAAUGGAACAUGCACCUUUAGAAGAACUAAAUAGUCCCUCCAUUCCUAAAUAUAAGUAGUUUUAGAGAUUUUAUUAGAAGACUACAUACGGAUGUAUAUAGACAUAUUUUAGACCGUAGAUUCACUCAUUUUUCCCACAAAAAAAGUCGAUACACGGUCAUAUGUCACAACUUGCAUCCGGUGUCAGAAGUCACUCAAAUUAGGCAUGGAUUCUUAACAUGGGCAUUCUCACCUUUUUGCAAAAAUUUGGGUCAGUCCUAAGAUUUCAAAACAAGAAAUGCCAUAUUAAUAGAGAGUGUACGGGUAGACCAGAAGGGUCCAUUACAAAAAUAUUAGAUCAUAUUUUAUGUAAAAUUAACUAAAUGGUUGCGUCUUAAAAGCUAUCCAUCCACCUCUCAUUAAAUAGGCAAAUUAUUACCGAAUCAGGAGGAGACAGAUCAAAUUUCAACUAUAACUCCUUCAUAAUAUGCUCAUUAUUAUUUUAAAAACUAUAUCCAGGUGCAUAAGUAGUCAUUUCAUCAGAGAUCAUGAGAGGAGAAUCCUAUUCGGCAUGUGGGUAGCUGGUUAUCGACUGCGCGCGUACCCCCUUACAUGCCGGUCUUUCUAUCGGCCAACCCAUUUUCGGGAUUUGCCCCAACCUGAAUUUUCUGAACCAGAUUUUUAUGUUUAUUUUUUCUUUAUUUUUUCCUCUGUUUUUUGUUUUUCCCUCUCUUUUACAUUACUUUAUCUGUUUUCUUUUUCUUUUACUCCGUUCUUUUAUAUUUUCUUUCUUUAUUUUCAUUCUUAUUUUUUCAAUUUGCGAAAAUGUUAUAAAUUCAUGGAUAUUUUGAAAUCAUGAACAGUUAGAUCUACUUUUUACAAAUUCCUUAACGUUCUCUUAAAUCAUCAAUACUUUUUGAAGUCAUGAACUUUUUAAAAUUCAUGAACAUUUUUAAAAUUCAUGAACUAUAUUUCGAAAUUGAGAACAUUAGUUUUACAAAUUUAUUAAAAUACUCUUAAAUCCUGAACAUUUUUCAAAUUCAUGAACAUUUUUCAAUUGUGAAUAUUGUUUGAAAAUAUUUUUUAAAUUCAUGAACAGUUAUGGAUUUUUUUUAACUUGUGAACAUUUUGAAACUUCAUGACAUUUUUUGUAAAUCUUGACCAUUUUUUAAAUUGACAUACAUUUUGGAUGUCGUGAACAAUUAUUAAAUUGGUGAUCUUUUUUCAGAAAUUCAUUAAAAUUCUUAAACUGUGAACAUUUUUUGAAUUCUCAGUUUUUUUGAAAUGAUGAACUUCUUUGAAUUCAUGAACAUAUGUUUUCAAAAUUUGCAAUCUUUUUUUUUAAUUUAGAACUUUUUGAUGUCCUGGAUUAUUUAAAAUCCCGGCCCAGACGUGGGAUAAAUGUGGCACAAGUCAACCAUUUGGUCUAGCCCCACACGUUUCUGAAAAAGGGCUUUGGCCAAAAUGGACUGUGAGACUACAAUACUAAUUCUUCUUAUAAGGUAACACAUUACUUAGAAUUGUGAAGUGGUUACGACUUGCAAGCCCCUAGUUGAGGGCGUGGGUUUGAUCCCCCUCUGAGCAGAUUUAUUUUAUAGUUUGCUAGUUCACUUGCGCCGGGCCUUGCAUGUGGGACCCGCUUGUCAGGAUACGUGCACAGCGCCCUUUUUUUGUGGGGUACGUACCCCAGUGGCCUGGGUGGGUGAAAAGUUUUAAAAAUAUGACCAUCAUACACUUUGUUAUGAACGUGUGUGAUUUGAUCUCGGACAUCGAUGUGCUUAGGAUAUCCCUAAAAAAAGCAAUAUGUUUAUGGUGGUUGUACCGAAGUAGAAGUGACAAAUUUCGGCCCAACUGUUUUAUACCUGGCCAAUGUACACAACGAUAACCUGAAAUGAUUAACAGACUUCAGACCAACUUGAGUGUCUCUUGGAUCAGAGAGGUCGAGUUACAUGGUUCCAUAAUACAUUGUAAACUGGCAUUCAGAAACCGAGGUAAAUACACUGGUUCGCAUAGCUAGGCCUAGUGAGGUUGCUCAAAUCUCUCCCUAAUAAUAAAUUAAAUAGGGUUUCUGAUGGCAUUUUUACGAAAAAGUCCCUCAGUUUUCAGUUAAUCAACCUGCACUCCUUUCUUAAGUGGAAAAAAAACGUUUCGUCCCGGCCGCCCCUCCCCCUCCUCCUCCUCUCGGCCGCCCAUCCUCCUCCUCCUCCCUCCCUCCCCCCUCNNNNNNNNNNNNNNNNNNNNNNNNNNNNNNNNNNNNNNNNNNNNNNNNNNNNNNNNNNNNNNNNNNNNNNNNNNNNNNNNNNNNNNNNNNNNNNNNNNNNAUCAUCUCAUCAAAGUGUAUAUUCCAACUCCGAGAUGCUUGCACGAGUCCAUUGAAGGAUCACUGGAGCUUGCAUACUUGCUAGUAUCUUCAGGAUCGACAAAACCUCCUGGUUGUAUCACAUACAAUGUUUGCUCAAGGAAACCGUCGAGGAAACAAUGUUUUGACAUCCUAUGUGCAAUAUUUCAUAAAUAAUGCAACAACUACUAACAUAAUUCUAACAGACUUUUAGCAUCGCUACGAGUGAGAAAGUCUCAUCAUAGUCAACUGUUUGAUCUUGUCGGAAACAUCUUUGCGACAAGUCGAGCUUUUCUUAAUAGUGACUUAUCACCAUCAUCGUCUUUCUUCCUUUCAAAGAUCCAUCUUUACUCAAUAGUCUUAUGAUCAUCAAGUAGUUCUUCCAAAGUCUACACUUUGUUUUCAUACAUGGAUCCUCUCUCGGAUUUCAUGGCUUCCAGCCAUUUGUCGGAAUCCGGGCCCACCAUUGCUUUCUCCAUAACUCGUAGGUUCACUAUUGCUCAACAACAUGACCUCCAAGACAGGGUUACUGUACCACUCUGCAGUAGUACGCGACCUUGUCAACCUACGAGGUUUGUAGUAACUUGAUCUGAUGCUCGAUGAUCACCAUCAUCAGCUUUAACUUCAAUUGGUGUAGGCGCCACAGGAACAACUUCCCGCGCCCUGCUAUACACUGGUUGAAGUGAUGGUUCAAUAACCUCAUCAAGUUCUACCACCCUCCCACUCAAUUCUUUCGAGAGAAACCUUUCCUCGAGAAANNNNNNNNNNNNNNNNNNNNNNNNNNNNNNNNNNNNNNNNNNNNNNNNNNNNNNNNNNNNNNNNNNNNNNNNNNNNNNNNNNNNNNNNNNNNNNNNNNNNGAGCCGAGGAGGAAGAAGGCGGCGAAGCGCGGGAGCGGGCGGCGGGUGAAGAAGAGGAACGGGUGCGGGUAGCCCGACUUCCUCGGCGAGGAGGAGGAGGAGGCGGAGGAGGCGUGGCGGAGCGGCGAGGAGGGCGGGGAGGCGGUGGAGAACGGGUGGUGGUGGCGUAGCAGGUGCUGCGCCUUGGCCGGCGAGUGCGGCCCCCGGAUCGACGCCAUCNNNNN